rnacentral:lncRNA from 1 species
GAGACUGUUGGAGGUAUGCCCUAGAGGCAAUCAUAGAGAUGAUGAUAUUCCAUUUGUAUCCAUGAUUUGUAUGUUGUGUUCAUUGAAUAUCCAUUGAAGGCUACUUGAAUUGAUUUACAAUUAUGUGAAUUGUAUGUGAAACUCUUUACUUGUAUGGUUAUUCUAAAGUUGUCCCUAGUCGGAGUUCAUGUGAGGACACACAUGAAUAUUAGACUAGCACAUGUAUUAGUUGAUGACUAUGUUUCACAAGUCAUGGACAUGGAGAUGUUGAACAAAUAAUGUGGACACAUGUGGAGACAUGUGCUAGGACUGAUCCAACACGAGAAGUAGUUCUCUCUUUAAACAACAUAUACGCUUUGUCCUUAGACCUGAGAUUGUCGCAUGUAUUCUAGAUGUGGAUCGACCUACUUAGGGGCUAUCAAACGCUACGCCGUAACAGGGUAGUUAUAAAGGUAGCUUUCGGGUUUGUCAAGAAGCAUGCUAUGAGACAUGGUCAAUCAAGAUGGGAUUUGCCCCUCUCUGAUUGAGAGUGAUAUCUCUGGGCCCCUCGAGUGAUCGGAUCCGAAAAUGCAUGGCCAUGCUACGUACGGUUAAGAGUUAACCUACAAAGGGAUUCCGAAUCACAGGAUCGAGAAAGAGCGGUCGGCUUGAAGCUAGACCAAAUAUCGUGAGGCAAAGGGAAUAGCAUGUAUAUUAUGUUGUGAUGAUUCGUCUGAUAUGAUCUUCGUGUGUGUAUAGGAGUUGGCACGUCUUGCUAGAGGCCGCUACCGACUAUUGGGCCGAGUAGGAGUACUCGGGCCAUGUCUAUACGUAUCCGAACCCAUAGGGUCACACACUUAAGGGGCUGGAAGCCCAAUUCGGAUCUGAUCCGAGUUGGAUUAGGUUUAGAAGUUCUAAUGGGCCUCGGAUCCAAAGGCCCGUCAGGAACCUCUAUAAAUAGAGGGGUGGGGGCGCCCUAGGGUUCACACCUUUUUGGCGAAACACACCUGCCGCGCCUCCCACGCCCUCGCCUGUUCCAACUCGCGGAUCUAGCAGUCCGACUUGCGACGCUUCCUCCCUGCACGUGUGGAUACCUUGGAGGUGUUGCGCCUGCAGCACUUCGACGAGCCGCCGACGAGCCACGACGAGCCAACGACGAGCCGCGGUACCGGAGGCGAUCUUGCUGCACGUGGACGAGGUGCUGAGGAGCUGCUGGACGUGAUCGACUACGUACGACUACGUGAUCGUCUUCACUGCAUCGACGCAUAUCUACAUCUUCCACACCAGUAGUGCGUCGAGUGGUAAUCCCGUGAUCCUUAUACGGCAGUUCUUCCUGGUUAUACGCGGUAGAAUUUUUGAAUUGCGCUAGUGUAGCCUACCUCGUAUCCUAACAGCCAGUACAUUACUGUCUCAUGGAGGACGACAACAUGGACAUCGACGGGUUCGCUGCAUUCACCCCUCGUCUUAUGGCUGUCCAGUGGCCACCUACCUUCAAGCCAACCAUCAACGAGAAGUACGGCGGUUGCUUCAAUCCGAAGAUCUGGCUGAAGACAUCCUGCAGCACGGCCAAGGCUACGCACGACACCUACAACAAGAUGGCUUCCUACUUCCCAGUGGUGAUAGGAAGCGCAGCUCUCCUAUGGCUUGAAGGCCUCCCACGAGGCUGUAUCGACACAUGGGGCUAGCUUACCAGAUCUUUCACCUAGAACUAUCAGGCUACAUAUGCCCGACCUGGAAGCACGCAAGACCUUGACCAAGUCCGCUAGCAGAAGAACGAAACUCUCUGCGAGUAUAUCUACCGCUUCUUCAACAACUGCAACAGGCUAGCCGGCAUUGAAGACCACGACAUCAUCUGGUACUUCCGCACUGGCCUCAAGAAUAGAUCAAUGUUCCGCACCAUGUUCCAUGUUGAUCUAGUGAUGGUCGAACACAUGAUGCAGAUCGUCAACCUUCACGCCGACACAGAUGAGGCUGAGCACGUCCAAUUCCAGGACAGCAAGCACCACCACAAUGAAGACGACGAACCGCCGACUCAUCAAGACCUCCAGUGUGAACCCAGGCGGGAGCCUUCCCAACCUUGAAAGAGGGACCUUGAGGUCCUCACAGCUGAAGGUGACCCUACAAGACAAACAACCUUCCUCCAGGAGGAGUUCAAUGAUACUCUGAAUGCUCUGUGCCCCUUCCAUAAGGACGCACACCACAAUCUCCGAGAUUGCUCGGUCCUGAAGAAAGAACUCGACGGUCUAUUAGAAUACAAGCAGCCAUGCCGGGACAACUGCCAUGACAACCGCAAUGACAAUCGCCGCUGCGACAACGGCCGCCACGAUGACAGCGAUGACCAACGCAGAGAAGAGCGUUGUGACCAGCGCAACCCUGACGCCGACUAGGGCACCGUAAACAAUAACAACAAGUUCCAGUGCACUGAGCGGGAGGUCAACAUCAUCAUCGACAACCCCAAAGCCUUUUGCAGCAGGCGCAAGCACAAACUGCAGAGGAGGAAAGUGCACUUUGUCUCCGUCUCACCAAUCCAGUACUUGCUCUGGUCAGAGAUGCCCAAAACCUUCUCAAGGAAAGAUCACUGGGUGCACACCCCGGACCUCGGGUCCUACCCACUCGUGGUGUGCCCCACCAUAGACAAAGUCCUCCUCUCCAAGGUGUUGAUCGAUGGCAACAGCGGCCUCAACAUCAUCUUCACCGAGACCCUGAAGCGCAUGGACUUCAACUUCGAGCGGCUCCUUCCCUACGAAGACUCGUUCUAUGGUAUAGUACCUAGCAAAGGAUCCUAUCCUAUUGGAAGAGUCAUCCUGCUAGUCACGUUCGGCACCCCGACAACUACCGCACUAAGCACCUCAUGUUUAAGGUAGCCAACUUCAAGACAUCCUACCAUGCCAUCUUUGGUAGGCCAAUGCUAGCGAGGUUCAUGGCGAUUCCCAACCACACCUACCUCGUCCUCAAGAUGCUAGCUCCAAACGGCAUCCUCUUCAUCUUCGGCGGUUUCGAGACAUCCUACAAGUGCGACACGAAAGCCCUACAGCUCGCUGAGACCCUAGAGUACUCAGCCAAUGCCACCAUGAUGCUCACCGAGUCCAAGAAGGUGGACCAGAACCAGCAGACGAUCCUAGAGGCGGACUCGAUGCCCCUGGCGCUGUAGCCUGACCCGUCGGUCAAGAAGAUCAACUUUGGCCUGAAAGACCCCUCCAAGAUGGCCCUCAUUGGGGCUGGCAUCUCCCCUAAAUAGGAAGACGCGCUCACCAGUUUCCUCCGAGACAACUCAGACAUAUUCACAUGGAAACCAUCCGAUAUGCCCAGCAUCUCGUGGGAGCUGGCUGAGCACUCCUUGGAGCUGAGCAAGAUAGCAACGCCGGUAAAGCAGAAGCUUCGCCAUUUCGCUUAAGAUCGCAAGGAGGCCAUUAGGGUAGAAUUAAAUAAGCUCUUAGCUGCUGUUUUCAUUCGUGAAUGUAAGGACCCUGACUUGUUAGCAAAUCUAGUCCUUGUAAAAAAGAAAAACAGUGAAUGGAAAAUGUGUAUCGACUACACCGGUCUCAAUAGGCACUGCCCUAAGGAUCCCUUCCCACUUCCUUGCAUCAACCAAGUCGUGGACUCCAUGGCCGGCUGCACCCUACUAUGCUUCCAUGACUGCUACUCAGUCUAUAACCAAAUCGCCCUCAACCCUGCUGAGCAAGAUAGGAUUGUGUUCACAAUGCCCUAUAGCAUCUACUGCUACAACACCAUGACCUUUGGGUUAAAAAACAUCAGCGCCACCUACCAGAAAGCAAUCCAGGGUUGCCUCAAGAAACAACUUGGCAAAAAUGUAGAGGCCUACGUCAAUGAUGUGGUCGUCAAGACCAAAGAUGAAGAAAACUUCAUUGCCGACCUUGUCCAAACCUUUGACAGCCUCCAGGCCUAUCGGUGGAAGCUCAACCCAAGCAAAUGCAUUUUUGGUGUACCGUCUAGAAAGCUCCUGGGCUUCAUGGUCAGCCAACAUGGAAUCAAAGACAACCCUAUCAAAGUGCACACCAUCAGAAACAUGGCACAGCUGACCGGCAAGAAAGACAUCAUGAAGCUCACAUGCAUGAUGGCGGCCCUUAGCUAUUUCAUCAGCAAGCUCAGUGAAAAGGGACUCCCCUUCUUCAAGCUGCUCAAGAAGGCCGACAAGUUUGAGUGGGAUGAUGAGGCUGCAAGGCCCUCGAGGAACUCAAAACAUUCCUCACCACCCCUCCCAUCUUGAUGGCCCCGGCCGACAAGGAAAUGCUGCAACUGUACAUCUUCGUGACAACACAUGUUGUGAGCACAGUGCUAGUCGUAGAACAUGAAGAAGCUGGCCAUGCCCGCAUAGUGCAAUGGCCGGUAUAUUACAUCAUCAAGGUCCUAAGCGACUCUAUGGUCCAUUACGCGCAGGUCUUGAAAUUACUCUACGCAAUCUUGAUCACCUCCCGUAAAUUGUAUUACUACUUCCAAGCGCACAAGAUCCUAGUGGUUUCCUCCUACCCAAUCGGCAAAAUCCUACAUAACAUUGAUGUCCAUGGCUGAGUAGUCAAAUGGUCCAUGGAAAUCAGGGCAUUCGACAUCGACUUCUACCCACAUCAUGUGAUUAAAUCCCAGAUCCUGCCCGAUUUUGUCACUGAAUGGACUGAGAUUCAAGAGCCAGCCUCCCUGGAGAGGCUGGAGCAUAGGACGAUGUACUUUGAUGGCUCCCUUAACCUUGAAGGAGCCAGCGCUGGGGUCCUCUUCAUAUCCUCGAAAGGCGAACAACUCAAGUACGUCCUCCAGAUCCACUACAAGGCUACCAACAACGGCGCACGAAACCCUCAUACACGGGCUCCGCAUCGCUGCCUCUCUUGGCAUCAAGUGCAUCCUUACGUAUGGCGACUCCAAGGUUGUCAUCGAACCAGUCAACAAGUCCUUGGAAUGCACCAAGGAAACCAUGGACGCCUACUGCGCUGAGGUCCACAAACUCGAGGCUCACUUUGACGGCCUUGAAUUCCAUCAUGUCCCCAGGGAACACAACAUUGCCGCCAACGUCCUAUCCAAGCUCGGCUCGAAGGCGCCCAAGUUUCGGUCGGUGUGUUGGUCCAGGACCUCAGAAAACCCUCCAUUCAGAUCCUAGACCUAGACCAAGCUGACGGCAACACACAACCCCAAGCUGACCCAGCAUCCGCCGAUGUCCUAAUGAUCGAGGUGGAGGAAGACUGAUCAACACCCUUCAUUGCAUUCAUCACUGACAACAUGUCCCUUGAGGACAAAGCCGAUCAUGAAAAAGUCGCACGAUGCAGCACCAACUACGUUGUGAUUGGCAAGAAAUUGUAUAGGAAGGCCGCAUCUACCGACAUCCUAAUGAAGUGCAUCCUCCGCAAUGAAGGCCUCGAACUCCUCCAUGAAAUCCACUCGAGUUUGUGCGGGAACCACGCCGCCUUGGGUAGUCUGGUCGGGAAAGCGUUCAGCUCUGGCUUUUAUUGGCCAACCGCUAUCGCCGAUGCAAAAGAGCUCAUCCAGAGGUGCAAAGGAUGCCAGUUCUUCUCCAAACAGCAGCACCUCCUAGCCCAAGCUCUACGCACCAUCCCACCAUCCUAGCCCUUCGCAGGCUGGGGGCUGGAUAUGGUCGGCCCCUUCAAGACCGCUCUAGGUGGAUACAUCCACAUCUUUGUGGCAGUUGACAAAUUCACCAAGUGGAUCAAGGUCAAAGCUGUCAUCGUCACAGAGUGGGCUAAAGCCACUCAGUUUAUCGAAGAACUCACCCAUCGCUUCGGGGUCCCCAAUAGGAUCAUCACCGACCUGGCAAUUUGUUUUUUGAGAGAAUGAAGAAACCCUAAGGAUAAUUAUCUCCAUGAAAAAGUCUUGAUCAAUUUGAUUUUUGAGAGAAUGAAGAUUGUCAUAACCUGACAUAUCGUCUGAAAUUUGUAAACCAGCAAGACUCCAACACAUUUUUGCAAAAGGGCACUAUAAGAAUAGAUGCAGGACAGAUUCAUGGGCAUUGUUAGAGCAGACAACACAGCUGUAGCUUGGCAGAUCCAUAUUUUUUUCUUUGAAGAAUAUCCCUUGUGUUGAGCCUAUCCUUAAGCAGAAGUCACAGGAAAACUUUAUGCUUUGUUUGGCAGCAACUGUUCCACAGCCAUUUGUAUGCUGGAUAUAUGUCAGAGUGACCCUUCAUUCUUCGAUAAGCUUUUCUUGAACUAAAGAAGCCAGAUCCCCAGAUAUAUGACCAUGAGUCAUGUGUUGCUAACUGCUGAAAGGAAAUGAUGUUAUCUUGAAGCUGCAAGAAUUGAUCAUAUACCUCUGCUGACAGUGGCAAAUGGAACACAGAGUGCAAUUCUGUCAUGUCAUUAGCUCUCUUCAAGCUGGUAUUUUUUUUAGCAAAAGAAAAUAGCUGUGUAUAACUGAGUUGUGGCACGGAAUUACACCAAGGAUCUUUCCACAAGUAAAUUGUUUUGCCAUCGUCAGGUGUGGGAAUAGCCAUACCUUUGUAUAAAUCCAAAAGCUUUAGGAUGUCUCUCCACAAAAAGAGCCUUUUUUUAACUGCCCGGGCAGUUUGUAGUUCCUGUAAUAGUUAUCCCUUAUGAGAUGGACCCAUGGCAGGUUCUCAUAAUUGAAGAAUUUGUGCUGAUUUUUUAGAAUUAAAGCAUCGUUGUGAGUUCUUAGGUCAAGAACACCCAGUCCACCUUCCUCUUUUAGCAGACAAACCAUUUUCCAAUCAGUCUUUGGAAGGUCUUGGCACUCAAAUCAGAUCCUCGCCAUAAUAUAUAGAUAUGUAUCCUAUAUUUAUCAAUCUGUUUGAUGACAGUACCAUGUAGUUGUAGUUUCAGUUGUUAACUUUUGACCAGCUAAUAGUAUCUGAUGAUUGAUUUCAACAGCGGUGGGAUUAUGAUCCAACCUUCUAGGGCACUCCAUCACCCCCUAUAAAUACACGCACACUUUGCAUCUCUGCAAAUCCACGCACACAACUAUAUAACUAUCGGAAAUGCUAGGAACCUAACGUCCGGAGAGGACUUGAAAAAUCGGACGUUCUUGGUCCCACCUUCCACCAUUCAGGACACAUGGUUUCAUUCUCAUCCACUCAUUUUCUACUGCCCUCUUUCAUUCUCAUCCACUUAUUUUCUACUGCCCCUAGGUCCCACCUUCCACCGAUUGAGCUUAGAAAAAAUCAGACAUCCUUCUUCCUUGAUCAGUCGCAGCGGCGUGGUUGUAGACGAUUGCAACCGCCUCCGUCGUGUUGAAUGUGCCGAGCCAGCGCUGCUCCUUAGUGUUAGGUCCCGGAUCUCCGCUGCCUACCGGCCCUACGGUGCCGCUCUUCCUCCAUGAACAGAGCCUUGACGAGCACCAAAUGCAGCACCACGGGGAGGUUGCGCGGCGGCCGUGGCGAGCGUUCGCAUCAGAUGUGUUUUGACAGGUACAAGCCCGUGGAGUCCUGCGGCAGCCUCCUCGUCCUCCACCGUAGUGCCCCCUGUUCACGGAGCGUGCCGGCCUCUGCAUCUACGAUCCCAUGACGCCGCGUCUUCCUUCCACCCUUGGAGGCUUCUCGGCGACGAAGGCGGCACCGGUGGCUGCGUCGGACGGUUGUCCCGCUGGCUGGUCGUCGUGGAUCUGAGCGGGCUCCGUCUCCUCCGCGUGAUGCUCGACGUAGUAGCGAACCGGAGCAGUAGAAGUUUGCGCCUACUGACGGCUCCAUGUUGCGAUAGGUACCUCCUGAUGUUGCAGUAGAGAUUUUUGGAUGUUGCAACAGUUGGCUUUUGAUGUUUCAUCUGUUUGCAACAGUCCGAUUUGCUAGCAAUUAGGUGUUGCACCAACUUGUUCACGAUGUUGCAUAUGGUUAUUUUCUUUGUUUCGGCCUCUUCUUCUUUUGUUGUUGCAAUGCUGUAAGAGAUGUUUUUUGUUGUUGCAAUACUGUAAGAGGUACUUUUUUUGUUGUUGCAAUACUUGAUUUGGCCGAGAUCGCAAGAUUGUUUCUAUUCGAGAUGUUGCAACUUGUGAUUUUUAUUGUUGCAAUGUGUCUGUUUUGAAUGUUGCACAAAGCGAUUCGAGAUGUUUCAUGCACGUAAAGAUGUUGAUAAUUUAUCUUCUGAUGAAUAUUGUGUGAAACAUGAUGAAAUGUUGCGCCAGGGAUUUUUUAUCCUAUAAUGAGAUGGAUGGCGUGCAUGAGUUCCAAAACUAUUUUUAGUGCAUGUUUUCAUGUUGCAAGUGUUGAGUUUUGAUAUUUCGAUAGUUAUUUUUCAAUGUUGGGACGGAGUGUCCGAUAAAAAAAAUUAUCGGACAUCCAGGCGCUAGCACGUCCGUAUAACUAUUAGUACCUUCAGAAAUCAACCUGGAGGAUCUGGACUCGAAUAUGGAUGGAUAGGUUUCACCACGAUAAACAUAACAAAUUGAGCUAAGCUAGGUUUGUUGUACGGACACACAUUUGCAUAUUUAUACCUCAAUAAUAUGGGCGGAUCUUAAGCCUCGCCGUGCCAUUGGACUUGUCAUGUCGCCGCUGCUAUGCCAGCUGGGGUGGCUAACGCUACCAUCCGGUGACCUCCAGACUUACCAUGGCGUUGCCGCUGGCCGGCGCGGUAGCUUGGCAGCUACAAUCCGCGGCAGAAGAAGGUAUUAACGAAAGCCAGCUUAUUCCAUAUGCAUGCAUGGCUGCGUGUGUUGAUUCGUUGCACGAUUAUUUCCCGUUUAAUUUGCAUAUAUGGUUGCCCUUGAAGUCAUUGUUCCGCAGCCAUGGCGAGCCAUCCAGUCGACGUCGAUAAGAUCCGGCAUGGGCAGCGCGCGGCCGUGCUCGCCAUCGGCACGGCGAACCCGAUGAACUGCGUGCGCCAGGACGAGUACGCCGACUGGUAUUUCAGAGCCACCGGGAGCGACCACCUCCCUCACCUCAAGGCCAAGAUGAAGAGAAUGUGUACGUGUGUUCUUCGCGUCCACUUCUUUCUUUGAUUCGCGAUCGAACUGAAUAGUGGCUGCGUUCACAAACAUGAUCAAGGCACGCUCGCAUUUGAUUUCGUCAGGUGACAGGUCGGGCAUCAGGAAGCGCUACUUCCACCACAGCGAGAGGAUGAUCCGCGAGCACCCCGCCUUGCUCGGCCGUGACGAGCUGCCGUCGCUCAACGCGAGGCAGGACAUUCUGGCGGCCGCCGUGCCCGAGCUCGCCGCGGCUGCCGCCGAGGACGCCAUAGCGGAGUGGGGUCGCCCGGCUAGCGACGUCACCCACCUCGUCGUCUGCACCUACUCGGGCGCCCACAUGCCGGGUGCCGACCUCCGCCUCGCCUCCCUCCUUGGCCUCCGGCCCACGGUCUGCCGCACCGUGCUCUACCUCCAGGGCUGCACCGCCGGCAGCGCGGCGCUCCGCGUCGCCAAGGACGUCGCCGAGAACAACCGUGGCGCGCGCGUCCUCGUCGCCUUCGCCGAGCUCACGCUCGUCAUGCUCCGCGCGCCCGACGAGGCCCGCCCCGGCACGCUCGUCAUGCAGUCCAUGUUCGGCGACGGCGCCAGCGCCGCCGUCGUGGGCGCCGAGGCCGAGGAGCCCGUCGAGCGCCCGCUCUUCGAGAUGGUCUCCGCCUACCAGGACGUGAUACCGGAGACAACCGACAGCCGCGCGGCGGGGCAGCUGAACGAGGACGGCUUGGUGUUCCAACCGUCCAGCGGCAUGCCGGCGCUGGUGCGCCAGAAUAUCGAGCGGUGCGUCGCCGACGCGCUGGCGCCGCUCGGCCUCCGCGGCGGCGGCGGUGGGUGGAACGAGCUCUUCUGGGCGGUACAGCCCAGCGGGCGCGCGAUCUUGGACGGCGUCGAGGCGGGGCUGGCUCUGGAGCCGGAGAAGCUGGCGGCGAGCCGCCGCGUGCUGAGGGAGUACGGGUACAUGUCCGGCGCAUCGAUGCUAUUCGUGCUGGACGAGCUCAGGCGGCGCCAUGUUGGCGGUGGAUGGGACAACAUGCCGGCGGGAGGGAUGGGGGUGAUGGUGGGGAUCGGGCCGGGGAUCUCCGUGGAGACCAUGGUGCUGCGCGCGGCGAACAGCAGCCAGAGUAGGAACGGGGUUCUGCGUUCACCAUGGCAGUAGAUUUGAUUCGUGGGUCAUGGCUUCAUACUUUGUCACAUCUUACCCCUUUCCUCACCAUUUCCUCCUCUUUCUCUCCAGCUGCCCGAAAUUUGUGAAAAGGAAUUCCGUAUAAGGGAAUAAAGGGGAAAGGGGAACUCUUACAUCUUAAUAUGUACUCUAGAAUACUCGUGCGUUGUUACGGGUCCUACUGGUUCUCAAGUCAUUCAACUGGUGAAUAAAAUCAUACACAACGGACCGUCCUUCAUGAAAUUGAGUGUGCACCUUCUUGGAAACUUCAUGGUUGCUGGCUUACACUUGCUCUCCAACAUGUAGCCCCCAUCCAUUAUUCAUGUCAGUACGUCGCUGGGGAGCUAAGCGUCUGAGCCUAAGUAGCUCGCAACUCAACAACAAUUGUAACAAAACCCAAAGGACUCGCUUGCUCUCUGCUGUGCUAUUCUCCCAGGUCAGUAAAGUAAUCUAACUCAAAACUCAUCCCAGCCCACGCAGCACUUGCCACUAGGCUGCCUCGUCUUAACAUUGCCGCUCUCGCGAGGCCCAAACAUCUCCAUCACUCACUACCGCUUCCAGCAUCCAGUCAAAUCGACAUAGCAAUGUGCGUUGUACUCCUCGGUCACCUCACUCUCCCACUCCAAGAUAGGGUAUUGUCCCAAUGGUGAGAGCGGCAUCACGCUACCAUACAUGGGCGCCCCUCCCCCCAAUGGCAUGCUCGUACUACCACUACUACAUCUUCUCCAUCAAGCAACUCAACAUGCUGGGUGAGGCAGCCGUGUUAGUCAUCUCUAUCAUGGUCCCACUCUUGGAGAUUGCCAUCGCGGUUACUCCUCCCCUACCUCCUUGUCUCACCAGGUCGUCUUCCCGCAGUGUCCGGGAAAGCCAACCUGGUCGUGCCCAUCUUCCUGGGCCUCGAUGGGUGGCUUUGCCUUGCGGUGCACACCGUGGUAGGCUUUGUCGUUGUCCCGGCGCUAGGGAUACGGUUUGCGUUGCCACAACGGCCCCACACACAUUCCUCCUCUUCAAAUAGGUGUUCACCAAGGGCAUCACAACGGCAUGGUCGAGCACGUUAUUGCUUCCUAUUAAGGCUGUGUUGCAGCAUUCGAGUGGCUGCUAGAGGAGUUGCAGGAGUGUGACGAGCUCGAGCGGCCCACCCAUGGCGCUAAGGUGGGUGGUGGUCGUGGUUGGGAGCAACAGUUCAGUGGUGAUGAUCAUUGGUAGCAAGCUCUAAAAGAUCAGGUGCAUCUAAAUACUGGCUGGAUGGGGAGGGAGGGAGGGACAGGCAUUGUGUCGCCGGUGCCGCAUGUCGGGUUAGGAGCCACGGUUGGAGGCAGACUGGGAGAGGGAGUGAGGGGCGGAUGAUGGGUCGUGUCUGCCACUGAGUACGGAUGGGUGUGAUAGAGGCGUGGAUAGGGAGUGCCGCGGAUUUUAGGAUUGAGUAUUAAUAAUGAAAAAAGUGAGGGAUCUUUUUGGAAAAUAUCCAUGAUGGUUGGAAGAAACAAUUGGCCCUUUAAUAGGUAGAUAUGUGGUGGUGAGAAAAUGUACUCCACUAAUUCUUCAGUCAAGGAUAGAUCCCAGAUACUCGCAAGAAAGGAACAAGAUGAACUCCUACUAUGAUUCCCCUCUAAUCCUACUAGAACUCAUACCUUGUAAUUCUACUAUGACUCCUACAUUGUAACCGACUGGUAAUCCUGCCCCCCCCCCCACCCCCGGGAUAUAUAAAGGUGGGCAGGGUCCCUAGAUCGGCAUAGCAAAACUAAUUAGACCAAUACCUCAACACCCAAGCGUAGGGCACAAUAUACAAUCCCCAAAUAGGAUUUAGGGUAUUGUGCUACUUUGGUAGUCCGAACAUGUAUAAAUAUGUGUCUUGUGUACUCGCGUUUGCCAUCAGGCUCCAGGUCCGGCGAACCCCCACCAACCAGUCUACUACGUUGGGAUACCACUCGGUAGGUUGCCAGGUAUAAAACACCGACACCUUCCCCAUCAAUUGUUUCCUUUGAACCGCAAAACCCACUACUCCUACAGCUACAUCACCACAGCUGAAACGCAUACCUAAGCUCUAUAAAAUGUUGACCAGCCUACCUGAAAUGUUAAAUUAGGGUUAAGUGACUAUUAAAUCAGUUGUAGUAAUAUGUUGAAACCUGCGUCAGGCGGGGGCAACUGGGGGGGGGCAAGAUAUACCAUACCUGAUUGCCAUGAAAUGUUUGAGUUUCUAUCAUAAAUGUUGUCAGAAAGUUUGCAGAUUGCUCAAUAAAGUAUAAGAGAACUUGUUGAAGAUGAGAGAUUGAUGGAUUGCAAUGAUUAACCUAAGAUAGAUCUAAUGGGUUUUAAAGUUACAAUGCUUAACUAGUUGCGGAAGAAACAUAUAUAGGAGCCCGCACUUAGGUUGAUGCCCAAGGCUAACCCUUAGUGUUACAUUAAUUGGGCCUAAAUCCCAAGGCCUAUACCAAAUGGUGAUCAUUACAUUUGUAAUAAAACUACCUUGUAAUUUGAGAGGAUCCCUGACCAACUUAUAUGGUGGAGUCCUACAUCUAUUGAGAAGUUGAGGGUGUGUGUGGGGGGGGGGGGUGGGGGGUUGUAGAAGGGUGCCGCAUGUGCUCCUUCACUUGCAUCGACAAGCUGUGUUGAAACACAGCUGGUCGGACAAGAUGUGUGGGCUAGGCUUGGUUAGGUUUUAAAGUUUUUAAUCACAACUUGAUGAUUAGUAACUGGCACCACGAUUAGUGACUGAUAAAUAAUGUUGAUUAAAUGACUGUCAACAAAUCCCUAGUAUUGGAUGGCCGUUAAUGGCUGAGAGUUACUAGUAACUCAACAUUUCAUGGUUGUUAAGUUAUUGCAAUGAACUUGGACACUCAAAGGUCUCUGAUGCCUAUAAGAGAGGCACUCUUCUGUCUUCCAUGCACGUACAACACACCCUCUCCACUGCUGUGCUGCUUUUUGCUGUCCCCUUCUCAUCGCUCCGUGUGCAUAGAACACAUCAGAAGAGAAGGCUUUCGAAGCUGCACCCUUUCCCGAAACUCUACACUUGAGGAGAAGAAAGGACAAUCAAUUUUUGGGAGUGCGUCGUGCGACUACUCGCUGUGCACCGAUAUUUUCUGGAGGCACAACUGCACAUCAAUCAUUUGCAUGACAUCACCUCUAGCUCGAUAUGUUGAGUAACAGCGCACUUGAUGCUCCAGGCAAUGGCCUCGCUUUAGGGUACUUUCUCAUUAACUUCCUAGUUCAUUGUAUGUUUUAUGCAAUAUCCACAUCAUAAUUUAUGUUGUCCGUUGAUAUAAACAUAAUGGAUCGUGCUCCUAUUCUUGCUGUCAUGUUUGUCAUGUCUUAUUUAAUAUUCAAAUAAAAUAGAUCCUAUAAUAUAUAUAUAUAUAUAUAUAUAUAUAUAUAUAUAUUUGAGAUAUGUGUUAGAGAUUUGGAUGGUUUAGAUACAUGCCGAUGUGAGCGGAGGAGUGCGCUUAGCAUAAGCAAGGCAGAAGAUGACGCAGGAGAGUCACGCAUGACCUCUAGAGCCAGCUCAGCUCGGCUCAUUAAUAAACAGACGUAAAAAGGCUAGCUCGGCUCAGCUCGUUAAUAGUUUAAGCUAGCUCGUUAGGAUAUAAAUUUAGAAUUAUUAUCUUAGUACAUAUGAAACAUAAAAAAACUAUUUGAUGUCUAAUUAUAAUUUUAAAACUGACCAUGCAUGGAGCAGCUCGGCUCAGCUUUAACAGUUUGACUCCCUAUAUUGUGAGUUUAACCUUCUAGCUCGGUUGGCUCGUGAGCUAGCUUGAGCAAGCUCGUUAACCCAAUGAGCAAAAAUAGCUGCUCAGCUUGUUAAAAAAAUCCGCCGACCCGACCCGAGCUGAGCCGAGCUACAAACGAGCCAAAGCCAGCUCGCGAAUUCCUAGCUCGGCAUCCAACCCAACCGUUCAAGGACGCUGGCAGGCGCAGUUAUUGUUGGGACUUUAAGAUUCAAAAUCACUUAUCUCAUAAACUAUUUAUCCAUUUUAAAUUGCAUUUGAAUUGUGAUGCUGUUUGAAUUAAUAGACCAACAUGAGAUUAAAAUGAAUUUUUUAACAUUUCAACACCAUUUUAACAUUUUAAAAGGACUGUUUCAACAUUUGGAAUAUAUCAUUUCAACAUUUACAUAAAAAUGUUGAACUAGAUUUAGAGAAGUGUUGAAUCUAAUACUUUGAAAUAUUGACUAGUAAGCAUAUACCAAUCAACAAUUUGACAUCAUUUCUUCAUUUUCACACAAAUGUUGGACUAGUUAUUUUUUUUUCAAAUUGUUGAAUGAGGUUUUAAGAAUUGUUAAAUCUAGUCAUUCAAAAUGUUGAAAGUAUAAAAGUAUACAUAUUCUUUUUUCUGUGCGGCUGUACUAAACUCCUUUCUAUCUUUUAUUAUGGCCCAACAGUAAGUAUGCAUGCGCCAUCAAGCUUGAUUUUUGCUGCGCAGGAGAAGCUAUAUAUAUAUCUUCUUAUCUUUCAGAAGUUGGAUAGAAGGCCUCAUUCUAACAUGCAUGGCGGAUCGAUUAGCCUGGUUUAUCCUCAAAACAAUACUGGUUUUAUUUUUAUUUAAAUUUCGUUAAAAGAAUAUGUAUUUUGAAUUCACAAAUCAAAAAUCAAAUCUAAGCUAGUUGUUUCAACUUUCAAGCAACCAAGAUAAUUUAAUAAGUCCAGCCCAUCAAACUUGCACCUAGCACUGUCUUCUAAACACCACCUAGGACCAAAUACUUGAUCGAGCUCUUCUUUGUCCAAAUUAAACAUAACCAUAGAUUUAGUGACAGAAAUUUAGCCCAUCUUAUGCCUAGAGGGGCUCGUCCGGAAAUCCUAUCCAUCUUCCGGAAGAUACAUAACUAAGCAUCUAUAACCCAACAAUAGCUCUAUAACUGACCCACAACGGCCCAACAAACUAUCCCAACAUUUUAGAUGAACUAUCUCAAUAUUUUUUAGUAACAAAGUUGGUGAAUGUAAAAAAAUAAUUGAGAAAAAAUGUUGACGAGUGAAAAUUUUGGUGGAUGUAAAAAAUUAUUGAGCAAUAAUGUUGGUGAAUGUAAAAAAGUUAGAGAAAAUGUUGGUAUAUAAAAAAAUAUUGAUAACGAUUAAGUCAGACUUUUUUAAAAAUAUUGAUGAAUGUCAACAAAUGUUUAUGGAUGUUAAAAAAAUAUUAUACAUGGGCUUAUAUGGGCUUUAAAGAUGAGUUGAUUAUCUACGGAAGACAUAUAGGAGCUCCCGGGCUCGCUAGCCUACUCUUGUGGCCCAUCUUGUGACAACCUCCUCUUGUGCCCAACCAUGAGCAAUCUGUAGAAAAAUGUGCUGGGGUCCUCCUCCACCAUGUGCCUCCAACAUUUAUCUUGCGAAUUAUUGUGAAUGCUGAUGUAAUUGGAAAACUACACUUCUAUAGUUUACACUCGCAAGAUAUAGUUGAUGUAAUUACAUCAGCAUUGUACUCGCACAUCCACAUCACUUUUGCAAGCAUUGUACUUUUGAAAGUUCUCUUAUAGAAGUUCUCCAUGUUGGAGUAUAAGUGAAUUGUCCACCUCUUCUCAUCAGUUUAAGCUUUUGAGUUGAACUGGUUGGUGCAUGCAACUUAAUAUGAUAUCAGAGCCAGAGGUCUCGAGUUCGAAUCCUGGCGGACGCGAUUAAAUAAAAUAAUUGUAGCCCACUCCAAUCUCCACGUAUGCAGCCUGAGGGAGCCUGCACGUGAGGGGGAGUGUUGGAGUAUAAGUGAAUUGCCCACCUCUCCUCAUCAGUUUAAACUUUUAGGUUGAACUGGUUGGCGCAUGCAACUCAAUACUCCACAAUGCUAAUGUAAUUGGAAAACUACACUUCUAUAGUUUACACUCGGCAUGCAUUCAAACAUCUAGGGUAGCAUAAAGUAGCUAGUCGUGAUGAAAAAGAGAAGGUUCAUGAAAGAAAAGUCAACGUUACAUACAAAUUGUGCAUAUUAAUAACUAGUUAUGCAUAUUAGAGAAAACUCAAAUGAAUUAGAAACAACAAUAACUAGUUAUGCAUAUUAGAGAAAACUCAAAUGAAUUAGAAACAAACAAUUUAACCAUGCUCUCCUUGGUAUCCAAGCAAGAUAUGAUCGCCUUUUUAUGAAUAUUAAUAAUGGUACUAUUUUUUUAGUGGUAGGUGGGGUGAGUCUGUGUGCCCAUAAGUGGGCGUAUUUACUGUGUUUCGAAAAAAAGCAACUGCCUAUUAUUCCUUAGCUUGUUCUUCACAAAAUCCAUGCCUAAAAAUACCUAGUCAUCACUGACAGUCAGUUCACGCAGAAUGGUUGAUGGUAAGAAUUCAAAAUUUUGACAAAAGACGUACUACCAUAUGUUAGUGGAAUUUGGCGCGUGAAUUUGAAACAUGUGGGACGAAGGGCUACAAUUGUGUGUGGCUCAGGGCCUCCAUCUGUAAAUAUGAGAACACUAGUCAUUACAUUACGAGAUGGCAUUAUAUGGCACUUGUGUGUACAUAAUGGCUCGACUGUUGCAAGGUACAAGCAAUAAUCUGAUGUAGUGAAGUGAAAAUGCAACAAAUCUGAGUCUAAUUGGACGUCUCCGUGCCCUUGUGUCUUUUCUUGCGACAUACCCAGCUCCCAACCAUUCAUGUUAUCUUGUCUGCAGCGGCCUAUGCCCUUGAUCUAUUACUGCAAAUUGCAGUUUUACCUACAGUUUGUUUGUUGUGAUAUUCAUGCUGAUUAUUGCAGAGAUGUUUUAAGUUUGUUUCAACUUCUUAGUUCUUUAGCUUAUUUUUCUUAUCAUAGUUUGUAGUAAAAAGGUUUUUUACCUUAACAUUUGUCAGUCCGAUUUUGUGUUCCAUCUUUUUUUGCCAGAUGUUUCAAAUCGUCUAUUUGUUACUGUUUAUUUAAUGCAUCACAAGCGAUUAUAAUUAGGUCAGUGAUCCACUGAAAUGGAAGCCAGUAGUGGAUAAUAGUUUCACAUUGGUUGUUUGUGUGGGGUGGUGUAAGAUUGGAGGUCUUUGAAAGCAAACUAUCAUAGAAUGCUCUAGCUACAAUGGAGGCAGCAUUGCUAGAUUUGGUAGCAGUGGCAUCGGAAAAAUUGGCUCAAAUGGCCAAAAGUUUUUUACCCAGGCACAUAGGUGGCAUUUUAGUCUAUGAAUUGACAGUCAUUAGCGCUCUAGUUCUUCGUUUUUUUUCUCAUUUUCUUUUUCUGGCUGUUCAUCUCCUGGUAACGCAGAGGCAGAAUGUAGUUCAAGGAGUUUAUACCAACUCAAUAUUUCUUAUUCGGUGGUACAAUACACAAAGAUUGCUAGCAACCGGAUGCCCUUUGCCAAGCUGGAGCAUGAAUUCCCAGUCAGGACAUGGAACCAAUCCAGGAAGCAUUGCGGCAUGUCCAAUUUGAUGGAUUGAGACAAGGACAUUGGAUCCACUCACUGAUGGCAUACCAAACGGAUCUAGUUUCGGCGCAUUUGCAGAAGAUAUGAUUGGUUAUCUCUAGAUUUCAGCAACGUCCUAUCUGCCGUACCCAGACCUAAUUUUAUAGGGGCCAGAGAAAGAAUUUGCAUUUGGAUGGUGCACAAACUUUGCACGCAUCUCUGAUAAAAAAGGAGACCAAGUGAUCAACGACCCACCUUCAAAUUGCAAGUAUUAUGCUGUUUUUGCCGUGUAUUCUCCUUUGCACUCCCUCGAUUUGAAAUUACAAGCCAGGUUUUGCCACGCAAAUCGACUAAGAAAUCACUCAAACUGGUAAUAUUGUCAUUCAUUACUAUUUUCUAUUUAUUACAAAGACUGAAUUUUUAAUGCGUAUAUUUAAAAAGCAUACAAAUUUAAUCAGUAAACAUGGUUAUAUAGUACGAAUUAAACAUGCAUAUAUGCCUUAUAUUGACGAAUAUAUAAGGUAGGUCUUAUAUUUGCAAAUAGGUAGUAGUUCACAGUUAGGAGUACCGGAGUAAAAACCUAUACAGAUAGAUGAUUGCUUAUGUGUAAAACACCGGUGGACAAAUAUUAGGUGUUCAAAAUGUACUGUCACACCGGUGGACAAAACCUAUAUAUUCAUGUUGAUUGUUUCAGAUGCUUUAAAUUUUCUUAUAAACUAACGGAUACCUUCUGCUUUGAAUUUCUUAGUUCUUUCAUGCAAAAAGUUUUCUUACCACACUAUUAUUGGUCAGGUUUUUGUCUGGGAUCCGACACCAGGUUGUGGACCGCAGAAUAGUGGCACAAGAAUCUUCAUUAUGGCCUUCCACUGUAGAAGUUAUGGUUUGAGGUCAAGCAACAGUAUUCUGAUAAAUACUAGCAGACAGAUAGGAGUAGAAAACUACAAUUAUGGCUUGGGAUCAGGCAACAGUAUUGUCAGAGAGAUUCCUGUAACUAUGUUCAUUCUGAAAUGAAUUUUGCAGAUCUUUCACCAACGGUGAAGAAAGAAAGCAACGGCUUUCCAUGAAAAAUCCUAAGAAAAUUGGACUUCGCCGUCCAAAUGCUGAACUAGAAAAUUUGGAAAACUUAACUCCCAAUUACGGGAUUCACAAAUUGAAAAACACAACGAAGGAGAGCUUAUAUACAUUGCCAUAUUGCAAUCACGUACCCUUCGACUUCCCUCGUAUAUAUCUACCAAAUUGAAACUCUAGUUUUAUUUUACAAAAAAUCAAGUAAUUGGAUAGGUAUCUGGAAGCCUACAUUGCUUUAGGAGGAGGACGGGCAACGGUACACGAAUGUUACUUUUCCUCCUAUCACUAUAGAGGAUCGAUUAUUAGUACUGGUCGGGAAAGCCCUUUAGUACCGGUUUUUCGACCAGUACCGCUACAUCGGUACUAAAAAUAGCAUACUUUAAUUUACUCUAUUUUUCCACAAUUUAUUAGUCCUCUACCCUCGUAUUGAUCAAAUUCUUUAACUAAUACGAAAUAUGGUAUGCAAACUAUCCAAAAAAGUAUAGCUCAAAUUUAUCUCUUCCAUUGUACGCCAUACCCUCCUCCACACUCAAAUGGAUGUAUAAACAAAAAAUCUCUCCAUUCUCCUCAUUCUAAAAAUCAUAAAUUUAUCUAUCUCUAAAGCAUAAAACAUACCAUACUAAUUAUGAAAGAAGGGAGAAUGAAGUUGCUAACCUUUAGAACACUUGGAUGAGUGAAAGCCUCAUGAAAUCGUGAAAAAAAUCAUGUAGCACCUCUCUUAGGCUCGCGUCGUCGCCAUGAAGAAGAAAGUCGGGAGCUCUCCAGUCAAAUGAUGGGUGGAUCCAGCAGGAGAGGAAGAAGAAGCAUGUUUUAUAGCAGGUAAAUUAGUACCGUUUUGAGACUCCAACUGGUACUAAUGGGUGGGAGCCACCCAUUAAUUACUAAUAAGCCACCUGGAGGACUAGCCGUGUAUUAGUACCAAGCCUAUUCUCAGGAGGUACUAACAUGCUAGACUUAGACGAAUGCUCGAUUCUCUACUAGUGUAUGGACACCCAAAAAGUAGUGAAACUGAUUUUAAAAAAAGUAGCAACGGAUGAUCAUUUAGCCAAGGCUAGUUAUUCUUCCUUCCUUCAAAAUUACAAGGCAUAUUUUGCCAUUCACAUAGAUAAAUAAAUAAUUUUAGAAAAUAAUCCCUUCAUUCCGAUUUGUAAGAUGUUUUAGUUUUUUCCUAAGUCAAACUUUCACCAUAUUAUAGAAAAGUGCACCAACAUCUACAACAUCAAAUUAGUUUGAUUAAGUCCACCAUGCAAUAUGUUUUUUUAGGUAUGUUUUAUUGGUAUCAUAAGUGUUAAUAUACUUUUCUAUAGAUUUUGUGAGAGUUAGCUAAGUUUGAAUUAGGACAAAGCUAAACAUAUUACAUUUUGAAAUGGAAGGAGAACAAUAGCUCAUUGUUGUGUACAAAGAAAAUAGUACAUACAUGUAAUAAGCAUACAAUUUUAAUAAAAGUUCAAGUAGCUAUUACAUACAAAUAACAUACAUAUUUUGUAUUUGAAUAUAAUACGAAAUAAGCCUUAGGCCUGUUUGGAUCCAUCAAAGCAUUCAUACACUGAUGAAAAGGCCUAUAAAUAGAUGAUUCCUUAUGCAGUGUCUCAACCCACAACCCAGCACGAAGAAGAACGAACCACCACGGUGUACAAAAAAUGGCACACUACAGCGAGGACAGCACUCAGGACUUGCUCCAAGCUCAUCUUCAGCUACUGCACGAGUCCCUCGGCUACAUCAAGUCAACUGCUAUCGCAGUUGCCCUAGACGUCGGCAUUGCCGAUGCCAUUCACCACUACGGCGGCAGCGCCACCAUCCCCCAGAUCCUCGCCAAGAUUGACGUCAACCCAUCCAAGCAACGGGGCCUGCGUCGCCUCAUGCGCAUGCUCACAAUCUCUGGCAUCUUCACCAUCCAUCACCCUGCUCCAUCAUCAUCAUCAGAUGGGUGCGAAGCUCUCUACCAGCUGACACCGGCCUCCCGCCUCCUCCUCAGCGACGGGGGCUCGACGAGCUUGACACCUCUCCUGACCAUGCUCCUCGGUCCUCUGCUCGUGUCGCCGCUCGCCACUGUCGUGACCGCGUUGGUCCGGCAGGAGGAGCAGCCGGACCUGUCGGCGUUCGGCAUCGCGCACGGAGAAACCGUCUGGGACGUGGCUGACCAGGAGGCUGCCUUCAACAUCUCCCUCCACGACGCUAUCGCCGCGGACACCCGCUUCCUCAUGCCCAUUGUCCUCAAGGAGUGCGGCGAGGUCUUUCAGGGGAUAGACUCGCUUGUGGACGUCGGCGGUGGACCGUAUGGGAGUGCCGCAGCCGCCAUCGCCGCGGCGUUCCCGCACCUGAAGUGCAGCGUGCUGGAUCUUCCUCACGUUGUUGCACAGGCUCCAUCUGAUAGCAACGUGCAGUUCAUCGCGGGGGACAUGUUCGAGAGCGUACCACCGGCGAAUGCUGUUUUUCUCAAGGUAUUGAUCGUGCAUACUUCGUUAACUUGUAGUCAACAUAAUAUUUCUAUUGUCUAGAUUUUCAUUAUAAGGUCAAUUCUUUGAUAAUGUAUGCCUCGAGGGUGCUCAGAUAAUCGAGCAAUUCUAGAUAUCUAGUUGAAAAUAUUCUGUGUACCUCACACAGAUCCAUCAAUCAAUUCUUAAAAUAUCAACAAUUUCUAAAGGUAAUUCGUUUCUUUUAUAAGACAUGCAACGAUCUUUUAAGCGAGUAUUCACUUGUUGACGGUGCACCGACAGGUAUUGUAACAUUAUUUUAUAAAAAAUACAACAGUUUCCGAAGGUAAUUGUUUUCCCCAUUACGUUAACGUACACGCAGGUGCAUAUGAGUCCAUACAACUAUGAUUACUAUCUCUGCUUUAUUGAAGUAAUGACAUAAUGCAAGAAUAUCAGUUCAAACACAACGGAGAUUAAGAUGGACUACUAUGUAUAGUUUCAGAGGUUAAGUAGAGAUAGGAUUCUAAUAAUUACUUGACUAAAUCGAUGCUUACUUCUUUUAGUGGAUUUUGCACGAUUGGGGCGAUGACGAGUGCAUCAAGCUGCUGAAGAGAUGCAAGGAAGCCAUCCCUUCUCGAGAUGCUGGAGGAAAAGUAAUAAUAAUAGAUAUGGUACUCGGAUGGGGACCGUCUGAAGAGAAGCAUACAGAGACACAGCUUUUGUUUGAUCUCCUAAUGAUCGCCCUCAAUGGAGUUGAACGAGAUGAGCAAGAGUGGAAGAAGAUUUUCUUUGAAGCUGGAUUUAAGGACUACAAAAUUAUAACACUUCUUGGUAUCAGGUCCAUUAUCGAGCUUUAUCCAUGAAUGCUCAGCGAACAAGAUCAUCCAAAAAUAAUCACCGGAAGUCUUUAAUAUCUAAGCCUAAUGAAUAUGUCAUGCAUGUGACACAUGAAUCAUAAUGCAAGCAUGUCAUAAUUAUAGUAAAAUGCUCAAACUAUUAGUAUUGGUAUGAUUGAGCAGAAUAAGCGGAGGCUUUUGCAUUUGUCAAAACUUCCAUAAGUGUGGGCUUUAUUCAGUUGUACCUUCGAUGUACUAUUUCCCUUGCAAUAAAUAUUUGAACUCUUUUAUAGCCUUACACUACAACAAUUCAUAGUAUACGUGACAGUGGAAAACUGUUGGUAAAAGCAAGGAAACUGUAUGUGACUAUCACGUAUGUGGCUUAAACCAUGACAGUACUCUUAUUGUAGUUGGGACCUCCUGACGUGGUCAAAACCAAGGUAGCGGCCUUCAAAUAAAAAUAACAGCGCUGUCACAUGUGCAAUGGUUGUUUGACAGGGCUGUUAGGUUUGAAUAUCCUAUCAAUAACAAUGCUCUCAGUAAUUCUACCAAUGACAGCCUUGUUGCCCAUCUAAAUUUGUCCAUCAAUGCUGUUGACAAUCACUACAGCUGUUGGAGAAAAUUGCAAAUGUUGUAGUGUUAUAAUCACAUGAACCAUGUAUAUUAUUGUGCCAUUCUUUGUUUUAAUCCUUGGAAUUAUCCACAAGGCGCCACAAAUAAUGCUAAAGGAAAAAACAUAAACCAUUAGACACUUGCAUAAUUCAGGGCUAAACAGCUAGGCUGUGAAUCGGGAAGCUCCACUAUUGCGAAAACGGCCCAUAGGCCCAUACGUCAAGCCAGUUCUCAGACAAUCGACUGUUGUAUCAAAUCAGAACACUGUUAGUUGAUAUUCAAAAAACACCACUACAAUAUGAUGGCUAUAGAUCAAAUUAUGAAAUACACCAAUAGAGUCGGUACAAGUUGCACUGCUGCAUCUUCACUAUUAUUUCCAAUCCAGAAACUGUUUGUGUAAAUGACAUCAUCAUAGUCACUUCUACAAAUUUAUAUUUGCAUAUCAUUCAUUGUCAAUCAUGAGGAUACAUGGAUGCAAAAGACACAAACAACUAACAUAUUUAUUUAUUUAAUUUUAUCACAAGGAAGGGAAAGCAUGCACGACACACUCAAACACAUAAAAAUGUGCUUCAAAUAACUAUAUAGAAUUCAUAUAGCACUUUAUUAUACUUCAAACAAACAUUUUUACUAGCACCCAUACUUCAACGAUGAAUUUAUCAUAAUGUUGUGGAUUCUAUUUUUACUAGUUCUAAAAAGUUCACAAACAUUUUAUCAAUUUUACUAUAGAUAAUAUGGACAUGAUAUACACCUUCAUUAAGUCCUGUUACAAAACUCAACUUAAUUAAAAAAGAUAAACAAACAAUUUAAUGUACAUUCCUAAUUGCCAAUGGGUUUUUAUAAAAAAUCGUCUGAUGACAAUAUUACCAGUAGAUUUAGAAGAAAAAUUAUGAUGUAUAAGAGACAAUUUUCUAAAAAAAACUAUAUGCAAUGACUGGGUCUAUUUCAAAUGAUUUUUACAUAAAAACUGCAGAUAAUAAUGUAUGACACACAAUUUUUUUUAGAAAGACACUGUUUGAAAUAUCUUGUUGAUUUUUUUAGGAACAAAUAUCUUGUUAAUGUUGACCCUUCUUAAUGUAGUGGCUCAUUCGUGCUGUGUCUGUUAUAUACACGUGGGCUGACUCAUGAACAGUAGAACGGGCUGGCUGCUGGCGCUACGCACCCCGAGCGUUUGAGCAGUUCGGCCCACUAGCAUACGAACACUGUUGACCCAUAGGAAGGCCGUGGCGGCAGGCCGGCAACAGAGCAAAGCAGUUCGUUCUUUCUUUCUUUUUCCAGUUAUUUUCUGUACUCUGCUAAUAUUUCUUGAUCAUCAUUAAUUAUUUGGUAGCCACUUGCAAAAAGUAAUUGACUCCAUUUUAUCAACGGAAUGCUAUAUUCACUUCUCACAUAUGCUUUGUGAGUUUGUAUGAACAUAUUGUCUCGUAUAUUUAAAAUGUAUGCUUGCUCUAAGUCAAACAUCUACAGUCAGUCAUUGCAUAUAGUUCAUUGUUUCCAAUUUGUAUUGUUGGGACCCAUGUUUCCGAUUGGAUUGCUCCAUUUCUGGCAUCCCGACACUCCUGACCAGUUUUUCUAUUUUCAGUUUUGAUUUCGGGUAAAGAUAUGAAAUUAAAAGAGGUGUUAUACUUUCCAAGAGUUCCCAAUCAUUUUCAUCAUAUCCGUACUUGCAAUGUACUAUUUUAGGGGGAAAAAAAGCAACUGAUGGAUCCUGACAUCCAGUUAACGAUCAUACCAUACCACAUGAGAAAGGUGCUCCCACGGGUUGAGGUGCUACCGUGCUCCCAACCCAUGGAUGCACCUAUAAAUGUGCAUAAAAAAUCCAUCUAAAAAUUUUAGUGGAUACUUUUUGCCAUGUAAUACUAUCAUGCAAAAUUGAGGAUGAACAAAAUUUGUGCAAGAAAAAAAAAGAGAAAUCAGUGCAAAAUAAAGGAGAUUGUAGACUAUUUUCCAAUAGUUCCCAAUUAUUUUUCAUCCGUACUAGCAAUGUAUUAUUUCUUCUAGAAAAAAAGCAACGGAUUGAUCCAGUUAACGAGCAUACCAUACCACAUUUCUAACUCGUCUGGCGAAAAAAAAAGUGGACCAACAAUACACGAAUGCCUUGCUCGUGUUUUCAAGAAAAUGGCGCUAUUUCUUCUCCGUGCCACUCAUCGAGCGCAGCACCAUGGUCUCGACAGAGAUACCCGGCCCGAGACCCAGCAUCACCCCCAACCUCCCAUCCAUCUCCUCGCGAUGGCGUCGCCAGAGCUCGUCGAGCACAAAGAUCAUCGACGCGCCAGACAUGUUCCCGUACUCGCUCAGCACGCGCCGGCUCGCCGCAAGUUUCCCGGGCGCAAGCGCGAGCUCGGCCUCGACGCCGUCAAGGAUCGCUGUCCCGCCAGGAUGCACCGCCCAGAACAGGUCGUUCCAGCCGCCGCCAAGGCCGAGCGGCGAAACGGCGUCGAGGAGGCAUUCCUCGACGUGCUGGCGCACCAGAUUUGGCAUCCUCGGAGACGGGCAGAACGCGAGGCCGCCCUCGCCGAGGUGCCCGGCGGCGGCGUCCUCGCUGCCCGGUAUCACCGUCUGCGAGGCGGACAUUAUCUCGAACAUCGGGCACUCGACGCCGCCGGAUCCCUCGGGGCCGGCGCCGGCGCCGACGACGACGGCACUCGCGCCGUCGCCGAACAGCGCCUGCAUGACGAGUGUGCCGGGGUCGGCCACGCGCGGCGCGCGGAACAGGACAAGGCUCAGCUCGGCGCAGACAGCGAGGACGCGCGCGCCAGGGUUGUUCUCGGCGACGUCCCUGGCGACGCGGAGCGCCGCGGAGCCCGCGGCGCAGCCGCCAAGGUAGAACAUGGUGCGCUGCGUGGAGCGGCGGAGGCCGAGGAGCGACGCCAGCCGGAGGUCGGCGCCGGGCAUGUGCGCGCCCGAGUAGGUGGCGAGGACGAGGUGGGUGACGUCCCUCGCGGGGCGGCCCCAUGCCGCGAUCGCCUUCGCCGCCGCGGUGGCGGCGAUCUCCGGCACGGCCGGCGCCAGGAUGGCCUGCCGCGCGUCCAGCGACGGCAGCGCGCGGUCGACGAUCUCCGGAUGGUCGCGGAACGUGUCGGUCGUGUGGUGGAAGUACCUCUUCUUGAUUCCCGAGUUAUAACCUAAGAAUUGAAUUCUACAUGAUGUUGCGACCACUGAAACGCACCAUGAAACGGGAAAGAAUCGACUAUGUCUCACAAAUCCUUUUCAUCUUGGCCUUCAGCUUGGCGAGGUGGUCGCUCUUGGUGACGCGGAAGUACCAGUCGGCGUACUCGUUCUGCGGCACACAGUUGGCCGGGUUCGCGGUGCCAAUACCGAGCACCGCCACGCGCGGCGCCUGCCGGGCCUCGUCUACGGCGGUCGCAUAACAGCGAGUUCUUGGAGGCAACGGCAGAAGCAAUGGUACGGUUAAUAAUCCAAAAUGGCGGCGCAAGUCAGUUGUGACAAAACGGGCUCGCUUUCCUUCUGGCCACCCUGCCAGAAGGGUUGCAGUGGCCGCCGCCGGUGGAAACGCCGGCUGAUAAAGCGUGUCUGGCGGCCGCCGCCGGGUAGGCCUUAGGGCGGCGACGAUCAUGUCGGUGGAGGCCGACGUGCGGAGCCGAAUGGAGGGCUGCCCUGGCUUGAGACAUGGGGUCGCUACUACUCGCUACUCCUUGAGCGUUGGGGAGCCCGGUCUUUACACGAUGUACGAGACGUGCGCUGUGAAAGGAUGAUGCAGCUUGUGAAACAUGCAUAUUUCAGGCUUUCAGCCGGCCUUUAAGCUUGUGAACGCAGCUUAAUUAUGCGGUUGAUCAGAGACAGGUGCCUUUAAUACUUGCUUCCCAUCGAUAACAAACAGCAAACCCUUCUAAAUGUGGGCACGUACAAUUGAGUUAACGAUUUAGUUACUUGUCGUUUUUGUAACGGCAAGAAAAAAAAAACAUGUACCACAGAAAACCUUUGCCGGUUAAUAACAGCAAAAACAAGCUGGUUGUAGAUUUGUAACAAAAACAUUGGGUGAUAUUGAAUAGUUCAAACACAGAAAAUUUAUAAUUUACACACAGCUCGUAGCGCCAGCAUGUUUGUUUUUGUGAUUGCGGAAACCGGCUGCAUAUUAUAUGCUUUUAGGGCUAAUUUGGCAACGAGGGGAGCAAAACCCAGGGGGAUAUUAUCGGCACUUGAGAUCCCCGUCAUUUCCAUGGGAAGGAAUCCCCGCUUGGGAUUUAUACCCUGCAUAAGUUUGGCAGACAAGGGGCACAACCCUAGCUGCAAAAAAAAAAAUGCUCAAAACAAUCAGAAAAAAUCGAGAAAAAAAUAACAGAAAUUUUAUUCGCAUGCAAAACUUCAUCAGAUGCACACAGGAGCAAUCCAUCCUUACAUACAUUUUAAAAAUUCUAAAAACAUGGUCAUUUCUCAUCAUUACAUAAAUAUAAUUAAAAUUGUGUGAAUCCACAGUUGGAAGAGCUGCAAACGUUUGAAUGACCGAAUCACCCUGUGAAGACAGGCCAUCGUGAUAGAUUACUAGCUAGGCAAUAAUCAACUGUGACCAAUCUGCACUUGCACUACUCGAGUACUCCUGUCACAAAAUAGGUUCUAGCUUCUAUGCAUUGCUUCCGCCAAGUGAUCUGCAAGUAAAAAAAAAACUCAUAACCUGAAUGUUGAAUACUGAAUGUAUGUAGAAAAUGUAAUGCAGAAUACUGAGCUAGAAACAAAAAUUUAUAUAUGAUUCUGAAUGCUAAUAGAUGGAGAACCAUUCUUUGAGCUAACGGACCUUUGACACUAACAGAUGCUGAGCUAAAGAGCUGGCAAAACAUUGCUUCCGGAACAACUAUUGACAGUACUGGAAAAGCAAAUCACAAGCUUCUCAAUUUGACAAAUACUAUGAUUCUGCCAAUAUUAAUUAUUCAGAUUUAGUUAACUUUCUAUAUGAGGAAUCAAAACUCAGGAGUCAGCAGUGAUUCAUUUAGGACUAACUAAUAAACAAACCCCUGGUGAAGCAUUCUCUUCCAACAGUACAUCUUAGGGAAAUUUCUCAUUGAACUUGUUGGUGAAAUGAGCUACGGGAAACAUCUCAUCGAACUUGUUGGUGAUAAUCCUCGAGCCCUUCGAUACCCAACCAUUUUGACCAUUAUAUUUGGGGUUAUCUUUGUAGUCAUGUAAUAUUUCAAAAAGAUCUUUCUCAUAAGCAGAGUUCCAAGCAGCCCUUUUCUUGCCAUGGCUACAUUUCCUAAAACAUGUUAAAAUGAAAUUGAUAGAAACAUUUCCUAAAACAUGUUAAAAUGAAAUUGACAGAAACAUGAAUGCACAAUCAAGGUGUCUAAAAAAUUCAAGUACAAAGAUAUCAAUUGCAUUAAAUAAAAGCACUAAUUAUAAUAAUGUUUGCAGUAGAAAGUUCCAUAAAUUACAUAAGCAAAUCAUACACAAACUAGAUGAAUCAUACUCCUCUAAAAGAUAUUAUUCUAAACUAACUAUUAUUAUUAUAAGCAGCCCACAUUUGGUGUACGAUCUGAUCUCUAAGAGUAUUACCUCACUUGGAUAGUUGUUGUCCCUCUCUAGCAUGUCAACAUAUUUAUUUGUUGGGAUAUACUCUGGUUGGUCAUCUAGCCACCCCUCUUGACCAUUUUGCCCUCUAAUUAUAUUGUGAAAUGCUACUGUUAGAGUUGCAAUCUUGAUUUGAUUUUCUACGGGAUGGAAAGUGCCUACUUUAAGAAUCGGGAACCUCUUCUUUAGAACACCAAUGGCCCUCAAUAUAGAUGGUUAAAUAGUUCUUCGUAGUUUGCAUAACCACUUUGAGAUAAACGACGCCUUCUAUAGUCACUGAACUCCUCAAUAUGGGGCAAUAAAUGAUGAUAUAUUUGCGCACCCACCAUCUACAAGAUAGAAUUUCCCUUAUGGCACACUACAUCCUUUGCUAAUAGCAGAUCUAAGGACUCCUCCAUCUGAUGCUGACCCUUCCCAUCCACCUAAAAUGAAUGUGAAGUUAAGGUUGAAGUUGCAGGCUAACAUAACAAUCUAUGAUAGGGUUCCUUUCCUAUUUUUGUAGGGAGGGGCCUUGUCUUCUGCAAUGGUGAUUGGUAUAUGAGUGCCAUCGAUUGCACCAAUGCAAUUCUGCACAGAAGGAAAGAAAUUAAGGACUUGCAAGGAAACAAAACAAUGAGGAAAGGUAUAUGUCUAGUAGUGUUAUUGGCCCACCGGAAAAGAAGGGCAUAAAAUGAGGAUCUAUUGCAAUUUUGAUAUGAGUUUGGACUGGACUGGGAAGUCUCACGAAUUGAUGAGUUAAGGCAGGAAUUAUAUCGAAAACUUCUAUUAUUUUCCGAUGGAUCAUCUCCUCGUUGUGUUGAAAAGCUUUUUGUAGCUUUUGGUUGCUAGCAUUAUGUGAGAGCAUGAACAUGAACAUCCCAAGAUGCUCCUCAACAGCAACACCUCAUGUGUCAAUAGCAACACCUCAUGAGUCAAGUCUACUGUGGCUCUAAAUAUUUCAGGCUCCAUUUAGAACUUAACUUUACACCAACUUGGGUGCCCUUCAAGGAUUUCCUUAACCUUUUUGGUACCAGGAAGAGAAGAUGUGUGCACAUGCAUUUUCUCUUUUUGUAGGUAUGGAAUUAUGGCAGGCACAAGUACAAAAAAUAGCUCAUCAUCAUCUUCCUCCUCCUUCAACAAGAACUUCCUAACUUGCUCCUCCCAAGAUCCCAUUAUCUAGUGUAUGUAUAUAUAAAUCAUAUUCUUAAUUAGCACAAUGAUCUAAUCAUUUAUGAUAUACCUAAUAUAAAAAAUUAAACCAACAAUCAAACAUUAGAUAGUUUUGAUGCAUCAGGUAGCACAUACACCAUGACUGAAUGCAUGCAGUAUGCAGAUAUCAGGUUCAAGGCAGUCUUUUGCUUGUGUUCUUUCUUGUUUCUAUUCUAAUUGAAAUAUGCACCAAUCACAGUACCAUCCACAAUCAUGUAGUUCUAUACAUCCAUAGAAAUUUGAGAGAUAUAAAUUGAAAGCGACAGUAUUAUUUUGACCACACUUUUUUUUAGAAAAGAACACAUCCAAUGAUAGGAAAACAAACAAAUCAUCGCAGGUCCUCAUAGAAAACGGGGUGCGCUUUUGUUUAGCAAUGGGUUAUCAUGGCACAUCACAGUUCCAUUGUCACUUACAACCCAUCAACUUGUACUGUUACUACUUGUGAUAUAGAAUAACUACAAAAUUAUUUGAGCCUUGAUGGGCACUAAGCAUUUAUCACAAAGUAUUUAACAUAAUUGUCGCAAGGUACUUGUCACAAAGUACAUGAAAGAAAACACAGUUAUAUGUUGGUCUUUGGCCAUGCAGUGGAUUUGUACCCAUCUAUCAGCAGUUUAACUCGAGCAUUGCAAUUCACAAACAUUUUGCAGAUAAGAGGUAUUCAGUUCAAUUGCAAAGGCCAAGCAUUGCAUAACACAACAGGAAUCUCCAUAAAAAGACAUGAAACCCUAGCAAGGGCCAGGGAGAUGUAGGCUGAGGUGGAAUCACCUUAUGGGUGAUGGGGAGGCAGAGGUGGCAGGGGAGUCCAGAUCUGGCAAGUUCGCCGCCAUAGGAAUCAAGCCGUCACUGGAGUAGAACCUUAGAAAGAAAGGAAAGUGACGUAAGAAGAGGAAUGGGACGAUUCAAAGAUGGGGAUUAGGGAGAAGGGAUGGAGGAGGCACACUUGGACCUAGAUUCUUAGAGACGGGUAGCCAGGAGCAAUGGCGGCGGUUGGCAGUGGCGGUGGUUUCCUGCAGGAGUAGGUGGUGCCUCUCGCCCGCUCGAGUCGGCGAGUGGAGGAGACGAGAGGGACAGGGAGAUGGGGAAGGGCCCCCGAUGUCUUUAGGCCGGGCAUCUUUCUGCAGGGUAAUUGGGCUCGGUUGGGCUGGAGUCCCCUGUGCAACAGGCUGCCAAACGCACGAGCCCGACGUCGUGUGGAACUAUUCCACGUGGGCUGCUGGGGUGGGGAAACGUCCGCAUGGGGAACUGGGCUGCCAAAGGAGGCCUUAAAAGAUGGGACUCUAUGGAACGCUGCAUAAUGGGAGGGCUAGGAUUGUUACAAUAUGUCUGAUAAUGGAUGUAGGUGUUUGUUUCCACUUGUAAUUAUGUAGAUUUUCACAACCAUGAGCUAAAACAAACGAGCCAUUAUAUUAAAAAACACAAAAAAACUAAGUAUAACUAUAACUUUACUAUUAGGUUGGAAACUCUUUUUAGAGCCUUCACAUCAAUCUCAAGGAGACUUGAUAGAAAAAAAGAUAAAUCUUUGUUCUCACAUAAAUUAGAAUCAUCCAGCCACUACCGGAAACAGUAAAUUCGCCGAGUGUAAAAAUUUUGCCGAGUGUAUUUAACUCGGCACUCGGCAAAAUUUUUACACUCGGCAAUGAGGUCGUUUGCCGAGUGCCAUAAAUCCGACACUCGGCAAACCUCUCAGUGACACUCGGCAAAAUUCCGACACUCGGUAAAUCAACGGCGCGUGCAUCGCACGUGCGCUGUCCGUCACCGGACUGGGGCGGCCGUUAGUUCUUUGCCGAGUGUUGGACUCCGACACUCGGCAAAGAGGCCCUUCGCCGAGUGCCGCCCUCCGACACUCGGCAAAUAGAGAAUGUCGCCGAGUGGCAGCACAAGACACUCGGCAAAGGUGUCCAUUCGCCGAGUGCCUAGGCCUGGACACUCGGCAAACAUAGUACUUCGCCGAGUGUAAAAUGUUGGCACUCGGCGAACAAAAAAAAAAUCCUCCCCUGGCCUCCACACUUUUUCUACUCCCCACGUAGGAGAUUUUGUAAUCCAUAAGAAAAGUUGGUAUAUUUUGUGGUCUGUUUGCUAUUUUUAAUGAAAUGAUUGCAUUAAUAAGAAUUUUUUUAUUCAUGUCAGAUUUUAACUGCAUGUACAUGAAAUGAUGGUUUUUAAUCAGUGGAAAAAUUAUAUCCAUAUUAUGGAGUCCGGAUUGAGUUCUCAACCAGGAAAUGAAAAGAAAUUGUCAACAUUGUUUUUAAAAAACGCGACCACGAACGUGUGGUUGAAUGGUGGUUAAAUUCUAAAAAAAGCAAACGAAAUCUGAAAAUCACAAGAUUUGUCAAGAUGUCAUGAUAUUAUGUGUGGAGGCUGUGGUAAAAAAUUGAGAAGGUUUUGCCCAAUUUCUGACAUAUGAUGCUUAGAAGCCGACGCAUCUCCUCGAAGGAUUCAUAGAAGUUAGAGAGGACACAAUAAGAUUUGGAGUCCAAGUGACACUUGAGUUAACGUUUGGCUUCAAAUCUUUUUGCAUAGGCAACAUGCAACACAGAUUGGUUCGUGUCAAAAUUUGGAAAUUUUUUGGAUGCGUUUACUAUUUUUUAUUGAUUAAAUGCAAUUAUAGAAUUUUAGUAGAUAUAAAUGCAAUUUUCGCUAUAACUGCAUGAAAUAAUAGAACAUUAUCAGUAGAAAAAUAAUUUAAACAUUGUUGAGUGAUGUUGACACGAUUUUGCCCAAGUAUAUUAGGAAAAGAUCUGUAAAACAUGUUGUUCAAGAAGGUACAUGAAAUAUUAGUGUAUUUUACCGAGUGCAUAAAAGAAAACACUCGGUAAAGGUAGUUUUUGCCGAGUGUUAGAUCGCAGGCACUCGGCAAAAAGAGUACACGGGCCCACUGGCAGUGUUCUCGUCCUGCUUUCAAAAAGAAAAACGUGUGUUUGCCGAGUGCCUUGGAUCUGGCACUCGGCAAAGGAAGAAGGUUUGCCGAGUGCCACAUCCAAGGCACUCGGCAAACACAUGUUGCCGUUCGAAUUUCUUUACUUUGCCGAGUGCCAGAUCGCAGGCACUCGGCAAAGAACCGGACUUAUGCUAUUCCCGAACCGCCGCGCGCGGCCUGGCCUCUAUCCCAAAAUCUUCGAGUCGCCUGUGCAACCCGCCGCCGCCACCCGCUGUCCGCCACCGCCGGCCGCCCCGCCGCCCCACCGCCCCACCCCGGCGCCCCGGCGCCCCCGCCCCCGGCCCCGGCGCCCCACCGCCCCACCCCGACGCCCCGGUGCCCCGCCCCGACGCCCCGCCACCCCACCGCCCCACCCCGGCGCCCCGGCGCCGCCCCGACUCCCCGCCGCCCCGCCGCCCCACCGCCCAGCCCCGGCGGCCCCGGCGCCCCUUCCCCACGGCCCGCCCCACCGGCCGGCCCCGGCGCCCCCUGUCCGGCAGCCCACCCCAAGGGCCGCCCCCGGCCUGGCACCGGCGUCCCCGGCCCCGGCACCUCUUCCCCGGCCCGUGCCCCCCUGCCACCGGCGUCCUGGACCCUGGUGCCCCGCCCCUGACGCUCCCGCCGCCGCCGGACGUCCCAUCGACUUUCUAGGCCGGCGUCCCUCACCCUUCCGGUAAUGAAUAUUUCUUUUUCAAGUUACAAAUUCAGAAUUAGGAAGUAGGUUAAAAUUAGAAAUUAGAAAUUAGAUAUUGUAGGGCUGUAGUUGUAGAAAUUAGAAAAUGAUGUUUUUCUUGAGAAUCUAAGGUAUAAGAAUGUUUGUGGAAGUCGGCCAUCGUGCCGUUCCUUGUUUUGUACAUGUGGUUGUCGGCCAUCGUGCUGUUUCAUUUGAUGCAGGUUAUGGAAACCUCCACGUGCAGGGGAGGUGCUGCCGAAAAUUGUAGUUGACAGUUGUAUGUUUUUUUUUUCAGGAGAGGCUACGUUACCGUCCUCGAGUCGUCACUUUGUACGAUAGCAAGGUGAGUUAUCCUAUACCUCUAUUUCCGUAUGAUGUUCGUAUAUCACGUAACCUAGUUAGGCGUCUCCCGUUCGAAAGAGAUACGGUUGGAAAUAUGUAGAUGUUUGCAUAUUUAUAACCGUAUCUGUUUCGAAUUGUCCACGUCACUUUGGACAGCACGAGGAUGUGUAGGUGGGUUUAGUUUCCAUAGUCUACUCCGAUCCGAGUUAGAAUUUCGGCAGCACCUCCCAAUUGUUCUCCGGAUACACAAUCUCCAUUCCAGGACGUGUAUUUGGAGAACAGCGGGGAGGUGCUGCCGAAAUUCUAUCUCGGAUUGCAGUAGACCAUGGAAACUAAUCCCACCUACACAUCCUCGUGUGGGAUUAGGACCUAUCUUCACCUAAUAGAUAAUAUAGGAACGUGUAGAUGCAACGUGAGUUUUUAUAUUACUCGCUGAUAUGCUAGAGGAUGGAGGAUCGUCAGUGGAUGUACACGGGCCGAUCUAGUCAGAAUUCGUUGACCGAUGAAUGGAUAAACAAGACCGAUGCUUUCUUGGAACGGGCAUUUGCAAGGAUCAAAGGAGGAAGAGAUACUUGGUGUCCGUGUAGCAAAUGUGGAAAUCUGCGUCGGCAAACCAAGUUAGAAAUGGGUAAACAUCUUGUUAGGCACGGUUUUACCCCAGACUAUACCAUCUGGAUCUACCAUGGUGAAUUCGAUCGUGGGAGGGACGAGGUCAUCAGACAACGGAUCGAGCAAUAUGAUGAUGACGCCGGGGUGGGAGACAUGUUAGAUGACUAUCAUGAAGCUCGUAGGGAGGAGGAAACCGAGGCUACCGCAAAGGCAUAUUACGACAUGUUGUGUGCGGCACAGCAACCCCUUCACGGGCAUACCAAGGUCUCUCAAUUGGAUGCCAUUGCACGUCUAAUGGCUGUGAAGUCCCAGUUUAGCUUGAGUCGAAACGCCUUCGAUGUUAUUUUGACAGUUUUUGGGAGUCUGCUCCCGGAGGAUCACAUCUUGCCAAAGUCUAUGUAUGAGGCACAAAAACUUCUUCGUGCACUUAAGAUGCCGUACGAGCAGAUACAUGCUUGUCCGAAGGGAUGUAUCUUAUUUAGAAAGGAAUAUGCGGAAUCAAAGUACUGUGUGAAGUGCGAAUCGUCUAGGUUACUGGAGGUAGACUCUGGUGAAGGUCAGAAGAAGCAGCUUGCAAUUCCUAUGAAGAUCCUUCGGUACCUUCCCUUCAUACCGAGGAUCCAACGGCUAUACAUGUGUGAAGAAUCCGCAAAACAAAUGACAUGGCACAAAACCGGACGUCGAUACAAUGCUGAGAAGCUGGUACACCCAUCCGAUGGCGAAGCAUGGACAAAGUUUGAUGCGAUUUAUCAUGAGAAAGCUCGAGAGGCUCGUAAUGUACGGGUUGCGCUCGCAACAGAUGGGUUCAAUCCUUAUGGAAUGGCUACCGCCCCGUACACCUGUUGGCCUAUGUUCGUUAUCCCCCUCAAUCUCCCCCCUGGUGUUCUCUUUCAGCGACAGAACAUAUUUUUAUCGUUGCUAAUUCCAGAACAUCCAGGAAAUAAUAUGAGUGUGUACAUGGAGCCUUUGAUUGAUGAUUUGAUCCGUGCAUGGGAUGAAGGGGUAUGGACAUACGACCGUGCUACAAGGACAAACUUCAAGAUGCAUGUUUGGUACCACUACUCCUUGCAUGACUUGCCAGCAUAUGGUAUUUUCUGUGGUUGGUGUGUUCACGGGAAGUUCCCAUGCCCAGUAUGCAAGGCUUCUUUGAAAUUCAUUUGGUUGACGAAGGGUGGCAAAUAUUCUUCAUUCGACAAACAUCGACAAUUCCUUCCUCCUGACCAUCCUUUCAGACGAGAUAUUAGAAAUUUUACAAAAGAUGUCGUAGUUAACGACCCUCCACCGCAGAUGCUUACCUUAGCCGCGGUUCGUGCUCAGUUAGACGCUCUUGAGGUCAACAAUCAAGAUGGUGGUUUUGUGGGAUAUGGCGAGCAACAUGCUUAGACUCAGAGAUCGUGCUUGUGGAACCUCCCCUAUUUUGAUGAUCUUCUUCUCCCACACAACAUUGAUGUUAUGCACACUGAAAAGAACAUUGCCGAGGCAAUUUUUGGUACAAUUAUGGACAUUCCUGACAAGACAAAAGAUAACGUUAAGGCUACAGUGGAUCAAGCAAUGUUAUGCAGCAGACCAAAGUUAGACAUGGCGCCUCCCAGAGCAGGCAAGUCGUGGAGAAAGCCUAAGGCUGAUUUCGUCCUGACGAGGGCCCAAAGGAGGGAGGUAUUAGAAUGGUUCGAAAUGUUAAUGUUCCCUGAUGGGUAUGCAGCAAAUCUGAAGAGGGGAGUGAACUUAGCUACUAUGCGAAUCAACGGGCUCAAAAGUCAUGAUUAUCACAUAUGGAUUGAGCGCCUACUUCCGGUGAUGGUUCAAGGUUAUGUCCCUGAGCAUGUGUGGUAGGUGCUAGCGUAGUUGAGUAAUUUCUUCUGCCAGCUUUGUGCUAAGGAGUUAUCUCGGACCGUGGUUGACGAAAUGGAAAGAAUAGCGCCUGUGUUGCUCUGUAAGUUGGAGAAGAUCUUUCCUCCUGGCUUCUUCAAUCCGAUGCAGCAUAUGAUUUUACACCUCUCUUAUGAAGCACGAAUGGGGGGGCCUGUGCAGGGCCGUUGGUGCUAUUCAAUUGAGAGGUGUCAAAAGGUUCUUCGAACUAAAUGUAAAAACAAAUGCAAAAUUGAAGCCUCCAUUGCAGAGGCAUACAUUCUGGAGGAGAUGUCAAACUUCACAACAAAAUACUAUGCUGACAACCUUCCUAACGUGCAGAAUCCACCGCCUCGUUACAAUGACAGCGAAGUUGAAUCGAGCCUUAGUCUUUUUCGAGGACAACAUGGAAGUGCAAGUGGUGCGACACAAAAAAAAUUGAAACAUAAAGAGUGGCACACUAUCAUGUUGUAUGUAUUGACCAACCUAUCCGAGGUGGAGCCGUACAUACUGUAAGUUCUGAACAAACUAGUCUUUUCUGAAAUUGUCAGUAUUCUUCGACAUACUAUCAUGUUUCUCGUUGGUACAGGGAAUUCCAUCGUAAGUUCUGGCGUAAUUCAAGGGAACCUACCCCACACGAAGCCGAGACUCUUCUCAAAGAGGGUGCAGGAAAUGGAAUGCCCAAUUUUAUUUCUUGGUUCAAACAUAAGGUACAGUCGAUUUUAGAACGUACAUAGCUUGAUUAGAAGUUGAUCGUAUAUGCGAAUAAUAUAACGAACCACCCUACUUCAACUUGCAGGCUCAAACCGAUUCGUCUAUGAAUGCCGAGUUGAGACAGGUUGCCGAUGGCUGUGCCUACAGGGUCAAAUCUUUUACCGGUUAUGAUGUAAAUGGAUAUCGCUUUCACACAACAAGCCAUGAGCAUAGUCGGCCCAAUCGAAAAACGACAAAUAGCGGAGUUUUUACGCCAGGCUUUGAUGGUGUAGAGUACUACGGAAGAAUUGAAGAGAUAUACGAACUAACUUUUCAUGGUUGCAAAGUGCUUAAUCCAGUCAUAUUCAAAUGCCAUUGGUUUGAUCCAUCAGUCGUGAGACGGGCACCUAAUCUUGGGUUAGUCGAAAUUCGCCAAUCAUCCAUCUUAGAAGGAGACGAUGUAUACAUUGUGGCUCAACAGGCCACGCAAGUUUAUUAUUUGUCAUACCCGUGCCAAUCGGACGACCGUCUUAAAGGUUGGGAUGUUGUGUACAAGGUAUCGCCGCACGGUAAAUUACCUGUACCAAACAAUGAAGAUUACAACAUUGACCCCAACACAUAUGACGGAGAUUUUUUUCAAGAAGAUGGGCUCGAAGGGAAUUUUGAGAUUGAUUUAACCGACGGUAUGAGAAUGGAAGUGGACAAUGAAAUGGUUGCUGACGAUGAUGCUGGAGAGGAGGUUCAUAAUAUGAAGGAGUUAGAAUUACUUCAGCGGUUACAGUUAGGAUAGGAGAUUGAUGAUGACAACCAUCCUUCGGAGCACGAGAAUGAUUUUAUUGACACGCGUGACAGCGAUGAUGAUGAGACUUAUGAUCCAGCUAAUCCUAAUCAUGACGAUUAUUUCUAAGACAUGUAUGGGCUGUACAAAUUUAUUUAAUAUUUGUCAUACCAUGUUAUUUAUUAAGUAUGUUUACUUUAUUUUGCACAUCUUAUACACUAUCUGUGCUAAUUGGUUAACUCUUGGCAAAUGCAGGUGACUCAACAAUGGUGGGCGGUACGAGGAAGAUUGCAGCGCUUUACGAAAAAUUAAAAGCUGCAGCUUCAGGGUCAGGUACAAGGUCAGACGCAUCGAGAGGUCGAGGGAGGCGUCGAGGGAGGGGUGGAGGCAGGGGUGAUGCACAGGCCGAGGAAACGGAGGGGGCACAGGUCCUUGCUAGAGGCAGGGGUCGGGGCAGGGGUCGAGGAAAGGGUAAAGGGGUGAGGCCCCCCUCGCCUGCGCCUUCGUUGUCGUCGGAGGACGAGGUACCUUCCGCGCACGCCUCUAGUGACGAGGCGGAGGUGGAGCAGGAGCAGGAGCAGGAGCAGGAGCAGGAGAGGGAGGCAGGGGAGGAGGCAGGGGAUUCGCAGUCCAAGAUCUGGUUGCGAGGUCCCUCGUCCCUCCCGAGGCGACCGAUCCCUCUUCAUUUACGCCCACUGAUUCAACCCACCGGGGCAAAGUAAGUUCCUUUACAUAUUCUUAGUACUUUUGAUAUGUUCAAAUUUACAAUAGAAACUAAUAAUGUAUAUUACUCACUUGUGUAGGAGUUGGACUAAGCUCAGUGGGGGUUCCCACAACCGCAAGGUCAACGGCAUCAUCGGUCUUUUGUGUAGGCUACACUUUCCCGGUCUAGUGGUCUUCGCCGGACAGGAGGAGCCGGCCUACACGUGGGACCACUAUGUCGCCGCCGCCGACGUCGGUGAUCGUGACCACAGGCAAUUUGCGAACAAGGUGGAGCGGGUGAAGGCCGAGCUGUGGGUAAGUAUUCGAAGCACUAGAUUGCUUAAUACACAAGUUUCGCUAGACAUUCUUGAAAAAAUACUUGUUUGCAAUGUGUCUAUACGCAGGACUUUUAUAGAUGCCAAGAGGGAUUCAAGGCUAGGGUGGCCUCCGUCAUUGAACUAGCCGCAAAGAAGCUCGUUAAGGACAUGCACUACGAGGCGCGAGUUCAGGCCAUCAUCGACUUCUAUGCUGAAUACAAAAGGAUGAGGGUCAAAAAAGAAGAGGCCAGGACAAUGAACCUGACGAAGGAAGAAUUCAUGAUGGUACGUACAAAAAGUUAAUAUUUAGUAUUUUUGAGAUUAAUUACACUUCACUUCUUUUGUUAUAUGUCACACACUUGAUGAUGUAGGUGCCUCCGUGGUGGUGCCGAUCCUUUACCCGGUGCUGGGAACAAAUGGUGGACGUGUGGUUGCAGCCCGGGUGGUUGGAGAACCACAUUGCUUGCCGGGAGCGGCGUCUGCAGAUGCCAUAUGCACCACACCAUCAAGGCAGCCUGAGCCUUGAUGAAUACAAGGAAAAAUGGGUACGUGAAUUCAUUUCUUUAUUAUCACACAUAAUGCACAUAAUACUGCAUAUUUUGUAAUCCUUUUGUAUUUUUGCCGCAGACGUCAUCGCAUGAAGGCCAGGAGUGCUCCCGGUUAAAGGCAUGGGUUAUGUCCAAAAAGGGCAAGGCCUCGGCAGACAUCGACUUCAACCCGGAGGACCCCCCCGAGGCAUACAGCCAUCCCAGCAUCCACAGCCGCGUCACCGAGUACACAGCAAUGGCGAGGGAGGUUCAUGGGCCAGAGUUCGAUCCGAGCUCUCAGGAUAUAGAUCCUGAAAUUGUGAUGAGGGUGGGAGGAGGGAAGAAGCAUGGCAGGUACUGGAUUGGAGAUAGCGUGAUCGACACUGCCAGUACUCCCACCCUCUCCCAGAUCCGAGCAAGGAGCACUGACUCGAGCCCCGCGAUACGGGCACGGCCUACCGCUGCACAGUUACAGAUGCAGGCUCUGCAGGUUAUUCCUGUUUCUUUAAUUUUUCAUUCAUUUUGUUCAUAUCUUGGCAUUGGCAAUAAGACAUUGGGAUGAAAUAUUGUAGGCCCAGGUGGAGGUAGAACGGAAGCGCCGGGAGGAACUAGAGGCGAGGAUCGAGGCGGAUCGGCAGCUAGAAAGGCAGAGGACGGAGCAGAUGUUCCAAUACAUGCAGAGUGUUUUUCACAGUUUAGGUCAGACUCCACCACCUAUGCCACCGAACCUAUUCCCGCCACCUCCACCACCUCCUGCAGCUACUCCUGUGAGUCACUCUCAACCUUACAAUCAAUCUAGAGUUAAACUAGAAACUACAGGCACUACAGACUUACACUAGAAAAGUGACUAAUACAAUCUCUAUAACUUUGUGCAGAAUCAAUGGGCGGCGUCCAAUGCAGAAUCUUCUUGGGGGCAGUGGCCACCUGCACAUACUCCUCAGCCUCCUCAUCCACCUCAUCCUCCUCAUCCUCCUCAGUGACUUGUGAACUAGAGGUGUUAGCUGUGGUAAAACUUGUGAAUUACCUGUUUCGACGAGAACUUGUGAAUGUUAUUUGUGUGCUUGUGAUGCUUGUGCUGCAAUUUAUAUGCCUGUGGUGUAAUUUAUAUGCAUGUGCUUCUCUGGUUGUUUUUUUGAGAGGGGUCUUUUAUACGUAACAUUUUUGUUUUGUAGGGGGAGCUCGGGCACUUUGCCGAGUGUUAACACUCGGCAAAUAGCCCAUUUUCUGUUGUAUCGACGUCUUUGCCGAGUGCCAUUGUCUUGGCACUCGGCAAAGGUGCCAAAAAAUUUUUGCAGAAGGGCCCUUUGCCGAGUGCCAAGGGACGGCACUCGGCAAAACAUGCAACUUUGCUGAGUGCCGCAGGCAAACACUCGGCAAAUGGCUAAACUAAUCUGGCGGGCGGGGCUCCUUUGCCGAGUGCCGCAUAGAAUACACUCGGCAAAGGGUAAAGCUUCGCCGAGUGUAUUGUGGAAGUACACUCGGCAAAGGUUAAAUAUUCGCCGAGUGCAAUGUAGAAAUACACUCGGCAAAGGUUAAAGCUUCGCCGAGUGCAAUGUGAAAAUACACUCGGCAAAGGUUAAAGGUUCGCCGAGUGCCAUCUUCAAUACACUCGGCAAACAUUAUAGGUUCGCCGAGUGUCCGCCGUCUGACACUCGGCAAAGGAGCCGUCACCGUUGCUGACCGUUACCAUCUUUUUGCCGAGUGUUAUACUUUGCCAAGUGUAUUGUGGCACUCGGCAAUAAGUUUGCCGAGUGCCUGAUGAUCGACACUCGGCAAACUCACUGUUUGCCGUAGCAAACUUUGCCGAGUAAACGUCGCCGAGUGUUACACUCGGCAAACCCUUUGCCGAGUGUAAUUGGGCCUUCGCCGAGUGCCCCAGGCACUCGACAAAGUUACUGUUUCCGGUAGUGAGCCAUCAAUCUAGGCCCAUAGAUCUAAUGUCAUUGAUAGUAACAACCAUUGGCUCUAUAAUAAAAAUAGUCUAAAUUCUAAAAUAACCAAAAAAUCAAUAUUUAGAUUACGUAUCGAUAUAUACCAUUAUGAAAAAUAACCUAAACUAACCCUCUAAUUUUCAUCUAAAUUACCUACCUAUACCAUUGUAAAAACAAUUAUGUGACCUCCUAAACUUGCAUCAAAUUAACCAAUCUUCCAUUAUUAUUGAAAAUAUAAACUAAAGUAACCAAAUUACCUUAUUUCUAUCUUUGUAAAGACAUCCCACGAUAUAUAUGAUUCUCAAAUACCUACUACCAUUGUUAAGAUAGAAAAUACUAACAUAUACACAUGCAUGUUUGUCACCAUGUAGACCACAUAUAAAUUUAGGAAGUGAUGAGAAUAUCUAUUUCAUGUUAAACACAUAGCUCAAACUAACAAAAUCAACAGAUGUCCAACACAUAGCUCAAACUAUGAAUGUGGAUGAAAAACAUAUCUAUAUGAGUAUUAUGUUAAAGGAGCAUGGUGUUCAUCUUUUAUUAUUAUAUAUGGCACCUUAUUUUUUUAUAAAUAUCUAAUACUUAUAUACGAUUCUCAAAGUUUGGAGCAGUGUAUGUUAAUUAUAAUUUAAACAUAGACAAAAAUUCAGGAGUAGUCAGAUCCAAUAACACAUGGAUAUACCUUACAACUCUAGACCUAAAGUUGCAGAAUUGAACAUUAUGACUUCCCUACAAGGAAACUCUUACAGCAGAUGGCCGUGAAAUUCCUUUUUCGAGCUCCAUAUCGUUCCCUUUGCUGAUCUAGUUGAUUUCUCCAGCAUCAAAAAGACCAAAAUUGCUCCCUUUGCUCUAGAUGAUAUCUCCCAUCAGUUUGCUCACCCUUCCUCUACUCACGAUUUGGCAGAUGAGCAUGUCACCAUUUCGUGUCCAAAGUCCAGCAAGGUGCGGGGUGCGCCAUCAUGUCCUCCAUUGUCUCUUAGAUGAUUUUACCUCCUCUUGGAUCAGUUUGCACAUAUACAACAUGCUAAAGCCUCAUUUAUUCUAUCCCUGACUUUACUUCAUUUUUUGACAUUUUUAUAUUAUUUUAUUUAAUUGUUUUGUGUAAAAACUUGGGACUAACUUUUUUCUUGAAUAUUCAUGAUAACAUUUUCAAAAAAUUCUAAAAAAUAUUUUGAAAAUUUUUGUUAGGUAAGUUAUUUAAAUGUUUUUUAUAGCCACCCUAGCAUUUUAUUGUAGAGGGACAAAUAAGAUAUGUGCAAUGAAAGAUAAUAGUUUCAUAGGCGUCGGGAAAAAACAGCACAUAGAACUAAUAAACGCCUACUCCGUCCUUUCAAUCUAUUUAUAACUUAUUCAUUUUAACAUCAGCUUUAUCGAACAAAGAGAAGCGAGAGGUUUCAACAAAAAUGUUUUGCAGAACAUAACUUGCAAAAACAUCGUCGGCUUUUAAUUAUUGCGGAAGGCAUGCAUUAGAGAUUUAGAGUUGUCGUGAACCAGACAAUUUACAGCUAGCAUGCAGAACCAUCUACAUUAUGUAGAGAGCUCUCGGAGCUAGAAGUUUAGUCAGCCAUAGCCAUCGCGAAGCAAAAUCCAAUAGGUACUUCUUUUUCCAUUAAAGGCUCCGCCCGAAUUUCAUUACCAAAGCAACGAAAUUACAAACAUGGUUCAAGUCAUUUGUAACCCAGACAAAGCUACUGAAGGGUAAAAAUCCUCCAGAUAGGAGGAACAGAGGGCCUGCUAACUGGGGAUGAAAAACAGAGAUUCAGCUAUUACAUCAACCAGAACCAGCAACUAAAUGGUAACCAGCUUAACUGUCUACGAGAUCCUAUUAGCAAAAUCCUUCUUUUCUCCCUCUGAUUUAAGCUUCAUCGGGCAGACAUCUACUGAAGUAGUACCGUUCCUGCGUCACCUGGCGACGCUUCACGAGGGGGGCAAUGCAGUGUCAUUUCCUUUAGUGCUUCUCCGCCCAUCUCCAAUCUAAGUUCAGCUUGUCCUUCGGCUUCUGGAGAUCUGCCAAUAUGUGAUAAAAGAAGUUGCCAGGCAAAUAAUUUCAGUAAGGCCCCGUUUGGAUCAUUGGAAUUGAAUUCCAUCCUAAUAAUCAUAAUUUAGACACAAAUUAAUUAAGCUAAUAUAAUUGUAUGUGGAAUAUAGUUGUAUAUUAUAGUUGGUGGUAUGGGAGAGAUACUUAUAUGCUGCACUUCUACUAUAGAGAAGCGAGUCUAAGAGCGUGCUAUAAGAAUUGAAUUCCAUUCUAAUAACCAUAAUCUAUAGAAUCAAUUUCCAUCUUCCACCCCAUGAAUUUAAGAUAGGCUUAUAUCUAAACUUUGGAAAGUUGUGGAAUGCCACAUUCCAACAUAAAUUAGCCUACUCCAUUAAAUAGAUUCCAAUUCCUUCAAAAUGAAGGGACCCAAACAGGGCCUAAGGGAUUUAAUCUUUUUCCCAUCAAAACAGACUGAAUUCCUUGAUUUCCAUAUAUAGGGCCCAACAGAUUGCUGAGAGGCCUACUGUAUAUAUCUUUCCACCAUUUGCUAUGUAUCUUUUUGCCCACUCCCAAUAUUGAUCAAAAGAGUUUGGUCUACAGGGAGGUCCUAUUACCAUGGCUGCUAGGUUCCAGAGUAUCUGGCUAAAGAACAAUGAAAGAAGAUAUGAUCUACAGAUUCAUCCAAAGGACAACAACUGCAUCUUUUAUCACCUUGCCAAUUUCGCUUUAAAAGGUUGUCUUUUGUGAGGAUGGCAUUUUGAUGAGUUAACCACAUAAAGAUUUUGAUUUUUAAGUGAAGUUUUGACUUCCAAAUCCUCUUGUGAGGUUCUUCUACCUCGAAACUGCAUAAGUGGGAGUAUACGGAUUUGACUUAAAAGGUUCUUUAUUUUUUCCAUAUCCAUUUCGGCCUGUCAUUGGAUGAUAGAGCACAUACAGAGAGCAUGUCCCUCAGCUGCCUUAGACUAGUUUGUGCUCUCUCAUCUAGCCAUCUUCGGAAUGUUAAUCUCCACCCUUUAUUAGCCCCACUUGCUACAUUCCCUGUUUGUUCAUUACAGAUAUCAAACAGCUCCUGGAAUUUAUCUUUAAGUGAAACAGAGCCACACCAAGGGUCCCUCAAAAAGUCAGUAUUUUUCCCAUCUCCAAUUAAAACUAUUCUAUCUUUCAGAUAUAUAUUCUUGACUUUUAAUAGAUCAUUCCGCACAGGGGAAUUGAUUGGCUUUGUUUUCAGUUGUGUGACACCCCCUUCAUUCAUAUAUUUCUUCCUCACAACUUCCUGCCAGAGCCCUUCUCCUAUUUCCAGUUUCCACCACCAUCUGCAUAGCAGGCUCACAUUCAUUUUCCUCUAAUCUUUGAUCCCCAGCCCCCCUUUUUUCUUUGGUUUAGUAAUUUUGAUCCAUUUAAUGAAAUGGUAUUUCCUUUUAGUUCCCCCUCCUUGCCAGAAGAAUCUCUUUUUAGUUCUAUCCAUUCUUUUCAGAAUUAUUUUUGGUAGUAAGUACAUCGACAUGCUAUAUGUUGGAAUGCUGCUUAAACAAGAGUUUAUGAGGGUUAAUCUUCCCCAAAUUGACAUAGAGCUCCCCUACCAUCCAUCUAAUCUCUUCAGCAACUUCUAGUCCGGUAAGAGCCAAUCCAUUAUAUGGAGUCUAGCACCAGAUACCGGGACACCAAGGUAUUUUAUUGGCCAAGAUCCUAUAGCACAGUUCAUCAUUUCUGAGUACAUCAUUGAUUUAUGCUCCUCCUGUGUAAUCAUGAUGAUUUCACUUUUAUUGAAAUUUAUUUUAAGACCUGACAUCUUUUCAUAUAUGAAGAGCAGAAAUUUCAUGUUUUGCGCAGUCUCUUCAUCAUCUUGCAUGCAUAGAAUUGUGUCACCGUCGUACUGUAAUAUCGCCACCCCAUUGGGUAUAUAUUCAGGGAACAAUCCUUUAUCAGUCCAUUUUCUUGAGCUUUGGUAAUCAUUUUGGCUAAGGAGUUACCCCAUUGGGUAUAUAUUCAGGGAACAAUCCUUUUAUCAGUCCAUUUUCUUGAGCUUUGGUAAUCAUUUUGGCUAAGGAGUUAGCUGCCAGGUUAAAAAGAAGGGGAGACAAAGGGUCCCCUUGUCUGACUCCUUUGCCACUUUGAAAGUAUCCUCCUAUCAUAUCAUUUGCUUUCACACUUAGUGUUCCACAAGUGACUACUUCUCUGAUCCAUUUACACCAGGUCUCACAAAAACUUCUUUGCUUCAUGCUUAUUUUAUCACUAUAUUUUUCAAAGUCCAGUUUUAGUACCACCCCAUCCUUUUUCUUGAUUUUUGUAUCAUGUAAAAUUUCAUGUAAACUAAAUACCCCAUCCAUUAUAUUCCUUCCUUUUAUAGAAGCUAUCUGUCAUCUAUUGAUAAUCCUGCCCAUGCUGUCUUCGAAUCAUAGCAUCAACACUUUGGUUAUGAUUUUGAAGCUCCUAUUGAGCAGGCAGAUUGGUCUAUAUUGUUGAAUCUUGUUAGGUUCCUUUGACUUUGGGAUUAGAGUAAUGAUUCCAUAGUUUAGUCUCCCAAUAUCCAGCUUAUGUUCUCCAAAUUCCAUAAUCAUAUCCAUCAUAUCUUUUUUGAUAAUCUCCUAGGUAGAUUGAUAAAAUUCCACUGGGCCUGGAGCUGUGUUUUUCUCUAUUGAGAAAAUCACCUUUUUUAUUUCUUCCUCUGUAGAUGGUCUAGUAAGCAUCUAAUUUUCCUUACUGGUUACUUUCUCAGAUUGAUCCCAGCACUCUGGGUCUAAUUUGAAGGUUGGACUAUCAGAGGGUCCAAGUAAUUUUUUGUAGUAUUGAGUAGCAUGUUUAGUGAUGUCUUCAUCACCCUCAAUGUUUGUGCCAUUAUGUUGCGAACAAUAUAUUGCAUUUUUCCUUUUUUUCCCAUUAGCUACCAUGUGGAAGAAAUCAGUAUUGUCCUUCCCCAUCAGAAGCCACUUUGUGUUGCAUCUUUUGUGCCUGUAUAACUCCUCUUCUUCCAGCAAUCUCAAAAGUUCAGUUUGGAUGAAUGUUUUCCUGCUCAGUAGCUCUCUAGGCAACAUGCCCUCUACUUCUUUCUUUUCUAAAUCUGCUAGCUCAGCUCGAAGAAUAUGUUUGUAUCUCUUGGUUUGGCCUCUCAGGUUUAUGUCCCAGCCUUUCAGAAAUUUCUUGACUAUGUUAGGUUCGAUGUACCAUUUUUCUACGUCAUUCUUAGCAACCACCCUUUCUCCCCAAAUCUUUUGAAUUUUAGGUAAGUAUUAUAUGUGAUUAAUCCAUGAAGUCUCAAAGCAGAAAUGUUUUGUUUUUCUAACUUUCUCUUGAUCAGUACGCAACAACAUCGGGUUGUGAUAUGACAUAUAUCUAGGAAUUUUUCUUAAUUUUUUCUAGGGGAAUUCAGGCUCCCAAUCUUCACUUAUAAGGACCCUAUACAGUUUUUCUAGAGUGAGGUCUAUGUGAUUAUUGCUAUAUGUGUACAUUCCUGCAUUCAGUACUAUAUCUCUUAAUUUAUAGGAGUUAACGAUACAGUUAAACAUGUCUGUGAACCUGUUUCCACAAAAGCUUUUAUUUUUUUCCUCACUAUAUCUUAGAAUGUUAAAAUAUCAUCUUAUUAACAUAGGUAGCUUCCUGGCUACACAAAUGUUGGACAGUUAAGUAAGGAACUGCUCCGUCUUGUCAUCAUGUGCCGGCCCAUACACCAUGACCAACAAAAGCUUUUUUAUUCUUUUUAUCAAAAACUUGAGCAGAAACUGAAAAUUGUUAUUCUUCAAGUUUGAUUAUGUCAAAUAUCUCUACCUUCACACCACAGAGGAUCCCUCCAGAUCUACCUUUUGAGGGCAUCGAGUGCCAGGCAUAAGAUCUAUUAGGAUCAACUUGCCUAAAGAACUUUUCCAAUAGCAGUGUUAGGUACUUCUAAGAUACUUUUUAGAAUAGCAUUCAAGAUGGAGGAUUGUUAUAUGCAGUGAAAGGCUCAAAAUAGCAGUGUGAGGGAGCACUCCAUGUCUCCAUAUAUAAAUCUAAGGCUGCUGCUAGUGAUGCCAAGGUCUCUAUGCAUGGCACAAACCAGGCGAAACAACGAUCAAAACCUGAACUCUUCGGAGUGGCCAUCAAUGUUUCAAUUGCUACUAUCUUGUCACAUCAUCAUCCAGGGUGUAGAUAUUAGAGAACCUUGAAAAAAUCAUAUUUUUCCAGACGAGAUGAACAAAUAUUCAGUUUUGAGUUUUUAAAUCUGAAGUCAUUAAGAUGCUCAAAUAAUUGCUGUAAUAAGCAUCAUGUGGCGCAUUAAACAUCGGCAGCUCUUCAAGAUCAGCCCUAACAUGGUUCUGCUCAUCAUGCACUACUACAGGUCUCGCUAUUACUGCCGGCUUAUCACCGCCGGUUUAUAGCGAUUCUACAACAAAUUAAGCUAUAGGACAUCAAAACUGGUAAUGAAAAAUCCAUCACCGCCGGUUUGUUAUACAAGCUUACGGUGAUAACUAUCACCACCAGCUUGUAUAACAAACCGGUGGUGAAGGGGGAGCUGGACCUGAAAUUUUUGUGUGAUUCAAUUUUGAGAAACUUUGACGUCCACGGCCCACCCCUAGUCCCCCACCCCUACCCCCCACACGACCACACCCAUGGCCCUCCGUCCUCCCCUGAGCGGAUAAUGCUCCCUCUCCUUCCUCGGCUUCUCCUCCGCCCUCCCCCGUCUGCUUGCCUCCCCUCUCUCUCCCUCCGCCGGCACCUCUCUAUGGCCUCCCUCCCUCCGCCAGCGUGCCACUCUCUGGCCCUCCCUCUCUCGGGUGCCCCUCACCUCCCCCCUUCGCUCGCCUCCCCCCCCCCCCCCCGCCACUCGCGACAGUGAGGAGCAGCGGCGGGGCGAGGAGCGGCGACAGCGCAUGAGUAGGGGAGCGUUGGCGCAAGCUGCAGAGGUGGUGUGCAUUGAGGAGCGGUGGUGGGGAGCAGAUCCAGGGGUGGCAGCUCAACGGCGUAGGGAGCAAAUCCAGGGGCAGCUGCGGCGGCGGGAGCAGAUGUAGGUAAGCCUCACUCCCUCCCCCCCUCUCUCCGGGUCACAACAGGGCUCCAGCGGCGAGCGAACGGGCAUGCGGCGGAGGCCGGUGGGUGGCAGGGGAGGCGCGGCGGCGGGAUGCAGCCGGUGGGGCUAGCGGGUUGGGGAUUUUUUUUAAUUUUGUUAAUAGGCAUCACCGCCGAUUCUGGAACCGGAGGUACCCGUCACCGUCGAAAGUCAUACGACGGAUCCGAAACCGGCGGUAAAGGCCGGUUUGGAGCCGGCGGUGAUGAAGUCUUCUGUAGUAGUGAUGGUUUCGCUGCAGAAAUUCUAUAAAGUUCUUCUAUUAAAAAGGAAAAACGAACUUGCACUAAUAUCAUGGGCAACAGAAUAUAUAUAUAGAAUAGUCAAGUAGAAACAUGUGUAUAGGUGUUUUGAAAUGGAAAACCUAUAUAUAAUCUCAAACAGUCCAUUAACGGAGAGCUUACAGUUUUUUGCGAUUUAGCUUUUUUUUACAAGAAAACAAAUGUGAGACGCGCGAACGAACCUCUGUUCAAACAUUUUAUUUACCACCAAAGGCUGUGAUAAGCUAACAUAUGGCAACGCAUGUUCCUUUAUUUACUAUGAAGGACAUGUUCCUUUAUUUACUAUGAAGGACCGGAACAGGCAACUAGAAGGGGUGAAUGGAAGCCUUCAAUAAUUCUUUCAAAGAAUAAAUCCUAUAUUCCGAUUGUCAUUCCAAACAUACCUUACUUCUAAUCGUCAAGACGAUACAAGUCAAUUCAUGAAAAGUUCAUCCUAGAAACGAUUAGAAAUGCUCAAAGCGUAGCGGAAGCAAAUUGGAAAGAGCUCAAAGUAUAGCGGAAGCAAAUUGAAAAGAGCUGCUCACUAAUUAUCAACUAAAACAAGAGCUCCGGUUAAGCAUGCGAGACAUUAGUUGAGCAAAGCUAUUGAGCGAUACAGCAAGCUACUAUUGAACAAAUGCUACUGCCAAACACAUAAGCAUAUAUAUUACUGGGGUAACAAAAAGACAGAGCAAAGAUUACUAAUUUAAAAAGGAAGCUAGUUACUGUCGACACAAGCAAAGGAGCUGCCACUUCAGAGACAAAGCAAUUAACUUUCCAAAGCAAUGAUUUCUCCACUAUUCACAGACAAUGACACUUCAAGUAUUCAGUUCGUGCACCUGAUCUUUACCUGAGUUCCUUGGCUUGGUCUGCUGCAUUCAGAAGCUACAAGCUGCACUGCUGUUGUUGCUGUUACAGAAGCUUGCAGGCUUGCAGACAGAACGAGAGCGGCUGCUAUUCCUGCACGAAUUUUUUUCUUUUUUAUAAUGUUUUUACAAUUUUGCAGAAACGAACAAAAAAAUUUGCAGAAGUAGACCUAUGCCGCCGUACGAAACGGCGGUAACUCCGCCACAGGCAGUUGAAACAGCGGUAGGAGGGACGGAGCGCUGCAUAGCCAUCUACCGCCGUGUGAAACAGCGGUAGGCUGUUACCGCCGUUUCGAAUGGCGGUAGCUGGGGUAUUGUCCUUUCAAGCGGCAACAUGCUCCAGCUUGGUUUAUUUUAGUUUCGCCGGGUUUAUUUUGGUUUAACCAGGUUUAUUUUAGUUUAUUUAGGAGGUGGAUGCUAUAGCCAGUUGAAAUGGCUAUAACUCUGUUUUAAUUUUAAGUAGUUUUUUUUGUAAUUUUGUAUGAUAUUUUUAAAAGUGAAAUAUGUAGUUUCAUUGCAAUAUGUAACUUCAUAAUUUGAGAGAGCUAGAGUGAUUGAAUGAAAUAAUUGAAAAUGAUUUAACUCCCGACCAUUACAUACAUAGCGGUUUCCAGCGAGAUUGCAACGGAUACAAACGAAAUUUAUGCAUAACAUACGAACAACAACGACUCUAGGGUGGAAAAAUAAUUAUAGAUUGCAGUAGCAUGUGCGGCACGGGUGCUAUCCUAAACCGAUGCCGUUCCUAAACCUAGCAUGCCUUAGGUAAUUGAAAUAGCUGGGGAAAGAGACAUGUCUACUUUCUAGUAGAAAUGGCUCUGCGAGGACUGCGAUGGCCCAGCUCCAUAGUAGCCAGCAUACCCAGAGGAUGGCGGAGACGGGGGGCGAUCCUUGUUGUGGUGGUAGGAGCACUUGCACCAUGGAUCGGUACAAAUCAAGUCACCUGCAAUGUCAACCGCCCAAGGAUUUGCGUCAACUUCGGAUUGAAGGUCCUCGACCUUACGCUCUAGGUCAAAGAUCUUGCACUUGAGGUAGUGUAUGUACUCCUGUGUUAGCUUAGGAAGUGGUGGAUCGACCCACUUAGCAUAGCGGCAGUUUCCUUCAUCAAGAUAAGUCUGAAUGUGAUGUUAGUUUGUAGCACAAGAAGCUUAGGUAGAGUAAUCAAGUAAUAACUUGACUCACCAACCCAUACGAGCAUCGAAAGAAAUGGCAGCUUCCAUCACCGUAGCUGUCAUAGAGCUGGACGACACAAGCCACACCAUGGUGACACAUUGGUAACACAUCGUGGCGGUCGUUAUAAGACCUAAGGGAGUUUGGAGGGGCGUAGUUAGCCCUAUCCUCUAGAGGGAACUCGUCGAGGGGUGCCUUAUACUCCGUUGGGCCAAAAGACCCUAGCCAAUUGAUGGUUGGAAUAGGAGCACCCCCUCCUCUUCCCCUCCUCCCAUGACCUCUCCCUCUUGCGGAUGCCAUAGUUCUUACUCGUGCUCAGUGGCGUGGAAGUAUAUGGGAGUCUUACCGUUCUCAGUGAAGGAUAUGGGAGAGGGGGGUUCAAUAUAAGGAGUGCUGAGAUGGAGAUACACUGCACCCCCAUGUGCUCAGUACCCCGUCGUGUUCAAUCAUCCUGAGAAAUGGUACAUAUAGGCUUUGCAGGUGCAGGGAUGUAGGUGUAAGUGUGGAGUCCCAUCUGCCUUAGAAGGCUUCAUGUUCAGGUUCCUUACAGUCUAUAGUGUAGGCUUUUAAGUGAGGGUUCACAUCAAUAGUCUAUAGUGUAGGUUUUUCAGUGAGGGUUCACGUCAACAAUGGAAACUAUUGUUUAAGUAUUGUACCCGUAGAGCAGUGUAAUGGGAAUAGUGUGGAAUCUCAGUACUCGAAGCAUGAAGACAAAAUAUUAAAACAGUACAAGCAACAGUACAAUGGUAUCCGAGGCACUCAACAUGACAAACCUAAAAGAGCACCUUCCCUAGGAUAAAAUGCCUUAGGUAAUGUCAAUCGUUGGAGGACAAGUAAUGUUCUACUGGGUGAACCAGGGAAGUUUCCCCUUCCUUACUAUUUUGGAGGAACAUUCUGCCUCCUGCUUAUUCAUCUUCUUCUGUUGUUCUUCUUCCUGGAGGAGCUGAGCCUGACGAUCUUCAAAUUUUUCCUCCUGCCAUUUUAGUGCUGCCUCUCGAGCACCUAACUGCUGGCGCUGUCUCUGCAGUUCAUCCUUUUUGCCCUUCAAAUGGAUUUGUUGUUGGCGGAUGCGCGUUCUUCCUUAAGCCGAGCAGCACGUGCCGUGUCUCGAGCCGAUUCCAUCCUACCAUAGUAUCGGGCUUUGGUCUCUGCACCACUAGGAUUAUGGGCACCUCCCCUAAAGGCCUAGUAUUGAUCCAUUCCAUGAUGUGCAUGCCUGCAUGUUUAUUACUGAUUAGUUCAAGGUACCGAUACGUAGAACACGUAUUUAAAAUGUUUACGAACAGACUAACCUUGAAAUCAUCGUUAAUGUCAGGACACUUGAAAUACCUACACCCCUUCUUCCCCCUAGGUAUGCGCUCAUUCCAUGGUGGAACCCCAUUUCGCUCCUGCCUCCACGAUGACAUUUCUUAAAGGGCGAUGCAACCUUACUGGAAACAGUUGAUUCGAGUUGGGUAGUGUUAGUAGUGCGUUUGAAUGUUGCUUGAACAUCUCAUAUAUAGAACUCUACUGAGAUGGUCCAUGGACCAUGUCCAUAAUGGCAAAUGGAAAAGGACAUGCAUGGACAUCAUAGCCUACACCGGCGUAGCUAUCAAAGUCUUUGCACCGGCCUACUUGGGAGAGGCGGGGCCCGACUUGGGUGAUGUGACGUCUCGACCAGACAAGCCAUCUGCGAUGCAAGCGGCACUCAGCUUUGUCAUGGUCACUGCUGAGGUAGGGUACGACGGAUUCUCUUCAUCCAUUUUUGUCAUGCUCACCUUUGCUUUGCUGAGAAGAUAGAGGAGAGGGCGACCACAUCCGCUAUCAUACUGAAUAGCCUACGGAGUACUCUACACUCUACCAAAUUAGUAGCCUGGGCAUCGUUUACAAUUUGGUGUUGCAAGCAUCAAAACGUACACACCACACACUGGAUAACAUCGUAUCCUGCACCGGCCUACAUAAAGUAGUUUGUGAUUGAGCACACAUCGUAGUCUAUAGAAUCAUACACGUGAUAGUCUGCACUGGCCUACAAAAGAUAAAGGAGGUCCUAUGCACUAAUGCGUUCUCACUUGAAACAAGGCUCACCUUGACCACAACCACACCUCGCUGCCAGUUGUGCUGUUCUGAUCUGGUACUGAUCAUACGUGAAGGGCUCCGAUGGGGCAACCUCGCAAGGCGGACGUGUAGUUGCGGCCGUAGGUGGUGUCGCGAAUUUCUAGGUGGCUCCCUGUGUCGGAGGCACGAGGGCGUCACCCAACUGUGAAGCACCGAGCUUGUCAGGGUCAUAUCUGAAAAGGGAGUCCACCUGUGCCGAGCUCGACCUCUGGACCUCACCCUUGAUGGAGUCCUCAUCGGUCCCACCAUGGUCUGUGUACCCUAUUAUGGAACCAAAUAAAUGUUAUUGUCAGUUUCGUUCCGUAUUUAAAAUGGAAUAGAAAGCAUGUAUUCAUGACACAUUGAGGUGGCGUAGCUCUGUACCCGGUGGAGCUGAAGACGGUCUGGCUGCACUGUAAGCUCGGUACUGUUGUAGAGCUGUGUUACGAAAUUAUAAGUUAGUACGAGGAAUCGGACAACAUUUUAUCAAUGGAAAAUGAGAAAGUAACAAACACGUACCUGUUGAGGUCACGUACUACAAAAUAGUCGACGUGCUGGGGGGGCAUACCAACACGGUGUUGGUGGGACAGUCGAUGGCCUGGGGGUGGGUGCAUGUGCUUGUGGUGCAGAAGAGGGGCCGGGGUACAGCAGACAAAUGGGUGGCUGAGAAGAUGUACCGGGCUGGUGAGUAGGAGCUAGAGAGAACGAACGGGGGUAGGCAGCCCGUGGUGGAAUCACGACAUCCGUGCGACCACCACGACAGCUGACGGCCCUCAAGAACCUACUACAGAAGCCCAAUGCGCUCCUGUACAGCAUCUCAUGGUCCCUCAUAGUCAUGUCGUAAAUGUUCUCGACGCCGUACCUCAAUGCCGUGUCGACCUCUGCAAGAAUGUCAUACUUUUGGCACACCACAUGAUGCAGUUUGAGUAAGAAAUGAUGCAGAAGCUUACCGCAAUGUCGAAGUUCACAUCCCUCGAAAGCGGGUAUGUCUGCAUCAUAGGCGCGGUCUCCCUCGGUGGCUACCUCGAAAUGUACUUGACCCACGUCCUGGUCCUUGGCAAGAACCACCGAAGGUAUGCUGCGAAAGCGUCAUUGUCGUGUGGACGGUCCUCAUGCUCCACCACCUCUGAAGCUGCCACCUACAUCUCGAUCCAUGGAACCAUCCUUGAACCCCACAGGGUCUCAAGCCUACCACCACCCUGAUGGGUUCACCUAACAUAACCAUCGUGCAACGGGUUAGAGCAACAAAAAAUCUCUAUUACAAGGAGAAUGAUUGGGUGGGGUGUACCUGUAAACGGCGGCCAGGACGACGUGAGUAAAAGGGACUGGGGAGUGCUGGUACCGGUUGAACUGCCUCAUCACACGGUGCACCGCGUACUCCUUGAUGUGGAUGUCGUAGACCAGUGGCCUCAUCAUCAUCCAGUACUGCAUGUCCCGAAGGCACAACGAAGAGAGCCCAUGGGGGGCACGAGCGUGCACCUCCGCUGUGGUGUAGGGUCUCCACCUCACGUUGGUGUCGACAAGAGCGUUGAACUGACCGACAAAGUUAGGGUAUGACUUCUUCGUCUACACCCCAACCCAUGAUCCCUACAAAAAAUAAAGUCACGAAAAGGUUCACUAAUCGAAACAUGAAAUCAUGCAUCAUAUGAAUUGAGUAAUUGUAGGUCUAGUACCGUACCUUCCUCAAGCACCAGAAUGACCCCAUCGUGGGUCUGUCGAUGUCAUCGUGCUCGAAAGGCAGCUUCGGGUAGGGGGCCAUGUCAAUCCGGGGCCAACCUAUCGAGAAGCGCUCGUACGACAACAUCUGAAGCAGCAAUGGGCAGCCAACGAAGAUGGGCUCCAUCAAGGCUACCUUGCAGCAGCCCGUGCAAAGGCCCCCUGUAGGUCGCUACCAAUACAGCUGAACCCCAGCUGUACUGCAGAACCUCAUCCAGCAGGGCCUCUGCUAUGGCCCUCGCGUAAGGAAGUAGGUGCUUAGGCACAGAGUUCCCCUGGGACUUGCAAAACAUGAUCCACCUAAAGAGCCAUAGCAGGUACGCCUCCAAGUGCCGCGCAACUAUGGCAUCGGCGGUGGUGUCUGUCAUGUAGUCGGCCUGAACAACAAUAAAAGAUAGUUGACAAAUUCACAAAAGUUAGAGAAAAUGAUAUGAAAAGUCAGGUAACUAAGUACUCACACUGAACUGCAUGAGCCACUUCUUCAUGGGCCCAUGUGUCGUGCUGAAGGUCCGAUACGGCUCAGCCUGAUCGUUCCGCUAAACAUGGGCAAACCGGGCCAACAGCUCCUCACGCUAGCUAACUAGCACGUCCACCACCGCAACGGCCCUCCCGGCACAAGGAAGCCCAAGUAGGAGGGAGACAUCCUCAAGUGUUGGGGCCAUCUCACCUACUGUGAGUUGGAACGUGUGCAUCUCGGGCCGCCAAUGGUCCAGAAGAGCUGCUAGCAGUCCCAUGUCAAAGUGGAAGCGUGUCUACUUCUCUACACCCCGCGCGCUGGCGUUGACCAUGUCUCCCUCAACCAACCUCGCUAGAGAGAUGAGGCCCGCAACGCGUAACCUGUACCAUGCAUACCAUUUAUUAGUUCAAACAACGCAAUGUUAGAACUUACCAUUUAUUUAACUAAGUACAACAUACCUCGGAAUCCAACGGGCAUCGAUCGGCAUUGUCGGAAGCGGGACACGUGCCCGAAGCAUGGCGAGGUUUGCACCCCGUACGGUAGACAUGAAUGACCUGUGAAGGCCGUCCAAGGUAGGGUUGAGCAACUCUGGGGUCUAAUACCCCUCUAGAACCUCCUGCACCAUACCUGUAACACGAAAAAUAUAAGUACGCGCCCAAAAUAAUAACAGAGGAAAAACAUAAAUGAAAUAAAAUGCACUAGACAUGAGAUAUUGCAAAGGCAACAUAAAUGAAAUAGUACAUGAUACGCUAAUAUUAUAAUGUCUUACUACUACAACUAAGAAAUACAGGAGUCUCUCCACAUACAACAAAUGUCACGAAUAACAUUACAUAUGACAAGGUCUGCCUAACGUACGAGUUCACAAACAUACAACACAACGAGUUCACAAACAUACAACACAUGAAUCACAGAAGCCCAUCAUUGUUGCUACAUGCACGACAACCCCGACCAUGCGCUGCAGCAUAUGCGUCACCGCUUGAUGGUCCAGCUUGGCUACUCCCAGCUCCAUAUGUUGUUGCAAGGCAAUUCUUGUAGGUGUGACCGGCUUCAUGGCAUUUGGAGCAUAGGCGGACAUCAGGACCGGCUUCAGAUUGAUCCAUGUUGUUUCGGAUGCGUCUGUUCUUGCAUCGCCCGACCCCUUGGAACAUUUCUGGAUCAGGGUCAGGAAUGUAGCGCGUGGCAUUACCAGGAUUGUUUAUGAAGUUUCCUAGUAAACGAUAUCCAUAAAUUUUGUUCCUCCAAACGUGCCAUACGGUUUCCUUCAGGAAGUAAUGCAGCAUGAACAAACGAGGUUAAAGUCCCCUUGCCUCGAUACAUGAAGCAAUGACAUGGGUGCAAGGCCUGUGCAGCAACCUUGGCCUCUUGCAAGAGCAAACACACCCUUCAUUGGUGAUGAUGCACUCCUAUGUGUGCUUCUCGCGCCUCCCCCCCAAUCGAUCUUUGUCCCUACAAAGAACCUCAAACCACCAUUCCACGGCUCCCACUUCAUAAACACAUUGCUUAUGAGCCUUCUUAAUUGCUUCCUCCAUAUACUCUGUCAUCUUGUACCCAUAAAUUUUGUGAUUGUCGCGCACUGAGUUAUCAACCACCCUGUACCUUUCCUUGAAGUACUUCAUGGUGCAGUGCAAAAAGAAUUCCACAAUACCAACAAGGGGCAGUCCCUAAACACCGCACAGGACCCAGUUGUAAACCUCAGCUAGGUUUGCAGUCAUUAUACCCCACCGAUCACCUCCCUCGUCAUAGAGUAAUGCCCACUUUUCCUUCGGCUCAUGCUCAAUCCACUGUGAGAAGCUCUUGAUGGACCUUUCCCAUCUUUGCCUGAUAUUCAGACCAUUGAGUACGACGUCCUCCAGAGACAUAGGGUGCUCGGCCUCACUGUUUUCUGGCCUCUUGCCUAGGUCUUCGGAUUGUUUCUUUGUAAGCUAAUCAAAUUUCUUCCACAGUAGGUUGAAUUUCCUCUCCUAAUUCUGGGUACAUAGCCGCUUGAACAUUUUCAUAAGGGUCUUGUUCUUGAAUUAACUAUGGAAGUUUGCCCCCAUAUGUCUCAUGCGCCACCUGCUCUUCAAGUCCGGCCAUAUCGGAACCUUGAAACGCUCCACACUACCAUUCUGUAGGUCUUCGAUUUCUUGUAGAAUGCCUUUGUGCUGAUCAUAAAUUAGACAAACACCCUUCACAUCCUUCAGAAUCAUCUGCUUCACUCUCUCAAGGAACCAAUAUCAACUAUCUCCAGACUCCUUCUCCACAAAGGCGAUUGCGAGCGACAACACCUGAUUGUUACCGUCGGCUAUCAAGAUUGUGCCUUUAUACCUUCCAGUUAGAAAUGUGCCAUCAAUGCAACUGAUUGGGAAACAUCGCUGCAAAGCCUCAAUGUAAGGACCCAAGGGCAAGAAUGACCACUGCAACACCUAUUUGCUUGGAAACUGAGCACAUGGAUAGGCUUUCAGGUCGUAGUAGCUUUUUGGGUUCCUCUGGCAUAUGGUGUGCAACAGGAGAGGGAGGUUGUCAUAUGAUACUUCGUAUGUACCCCACUUCAUCUCCAACGCCUUCUGCUUAGCUUGGUAAGCUUUGUGGUAGCUAAUCUUAUAAUUGAACUUCUCCUCUAUGGCACAAACAAUUGACUUGGGCUCGAAGCUGGGAUUCUCCACUAUCUGAGGAUACAAGUAUUGAGCAACAAAAUCAGCAGUGAGGUUGCGGUGUAUUCCAUCCAAUUCAUCCAGCAAGCAUUGGUGCUCAACCACUCUAGUUACCUUCCAGUAAUCCUUCCACUUCCCCUUGUAUGCGUGCACCCAAAACGGGCAAUUGCUUCUCACACAGCAGACAUCAUACACCGUCAGAUUGCUCUUCACCACUCUGAACUGCCGUUGCAAAGAUAAAGUAGAUCAUCGCUUCACAACUGCCUUCACCUCAUCCCUACUAGGGUACAAAACAUCCACGCAAACCUCAUUUUCCUUGUACUCCCAAGGGACAUUUUCCCCUACAUUGACCUGUAGGGCGGAAUGGUCAUAAGUUGACUAGUUCCACGGGAUAGGGUAAGCAUCUUCCUCAUUCGAUGAGUCAUCAUCCAUGGCACCGUUAGCCUCUUCUCCUUCCCUCUCCAGCUGCUCAACUAACUCAGGGAUGUCUUCCCCCUCAUCAGCCUCCCCAUUUAGCUCACGGCUCUGCAUCUCCCUCUUCUACCCCAUCUUCCUCAUCUUUUUCAUUUUGCCCAUCAGUACUUCCACACCUUCCAUGGCUUCAACUUUAGCACCUCCUACUUGUUCUUCCAUCUAACUGCCAGACCCAACCUUCAUGAACACUUGAACAUACAAUAUGAGCGGUAAACCGCGCUUGGUGCAACCAUUUACAUAAACUCGGUAGUUCUGGGUUCCUUCCAGCGGGAUUAGCUCCCAAAAAUUUAUGCCAGCCUGUCUCCUCACUACAGCCCUAACAGAUAGAUCCACUUGAUCUCUAUCAAGAUCAAAAGCCUUACAAAACUACUUGCAUAUGCCUCCCCAAGUCCUCUCUCUUGCUCUUGGUAAAUACUUGCAAAACAACUAAAAUCCACUCAAAUCUACCCCUUCUGGACCAUAUCUAACGUUCCCCAAACCAUAGAAUACUUGGAAUUAUAAACUUUCCGACAUGCCUGCCAAUAUACAUGAUACGAACAGUGGAAGUUACUCUCAAUAACUUAAAUCAGUUAACUCCAACGACACCUACAUUUCAAUAUACAGUACAAACAUGUAAUUUCUUCAUCGACAGUAAUAACCAUUUUAGAGUAAUAAAAAAUUAUGAACUAAUACAUUUCAUUUUACCCGGGUCAAUGUACACGAGACUAGCAUAGGCAAUUACUAAAUGUUACUACAUUAAUCUAACCCUAAAUAGCGGGUAAAUAUACACAACAAGAACAAAAGUUCUAAUUAAAUCUAAUAAUUCCAACAACCCCUGAAACAACUACAUUCUGAAUACCUAUACAUAAUAUAACCCUACCAUUGCAAAUAAUAUUUAUCUAAAAUUAAUCUACAUAAAUCAAUAGACUAAUUUUACUGCCAACUAAAUACCUAAGCUAAAUCCACUAAACUGACUAAGCUACAUUUUUUUAUGUCUCAAAUCCACUGAACUAACUAAUGUACAUUUUUCUAUGUCUCAAAUCCACUAAACUAACUAAACUAACUACUAGAUCUAUCCACUAAACUAACUAAACUAUAGGAUUAGAAAAAAUAUCUCUAACGAAGCGCAGAAAUACCUCUAACUACUAGAUCUAUCUUCUCUCGCUGGCUUGCACUCUGGUUCGCUCUCGCUCUGCCUCUCACACGUGCGUAGGCACAAAUGAAACGGGCCAAGCCUCCCGAGAUCUAUCUUCUGUCGCUGGUUGGCGCUCUGGCUCUCGCACACGCGCAGGCGCAAAUGAAAUGGGCCAAGUGCCUGGGGCGGCCACGGUGAUGCUUAUAUGGGGGGAGCUACCGCCACCUCAUUUGGCGGAAACUUCCCGUUUCCGCCAUUUCAAAAGGCAGGACCUGCUGCCGCAAAAUGAGCCAGCGGAAGUGCCUCGUCCCCCACACCAUUGGAUUUCGUGUGUAGCCCGCUGGAUGGGGGCGGUAAGCGGUAUGUGGAGCUACCGCCGUUGCACCCGGCGGUAGCUUCCCCUAACACCGGUUGAGAUGGCGUUAGCCUGUUACCGCCAUUUCAAGCGGCAGCAUAGGUCUAUUUCUGUAAAUUUUUUGUUCGAUUAUUUAUUUCUGCAAAAUUAUAAAAAAAUAUAAAAAUAAUAAAAACGCUGCCUCCCUUGGGCCAAUCGCUCUGGCCUGGCCUGCCUUGUGUUGGGCCACGAGCGUGCGCACACGCCCUGGGCUGGCGGUCCCACGCUGGGCCUCCCCCUAAGCCAGCCCGCUCCACCCGCAAUGGCCUGCUUCAGACAGCAGCCAGACGGGCCUACUGCACGCGCCGGAAAUUAGGUGGGCCUUGCAGCUGCUGCCGGCGUCGGCCUGCCGAGAGCGCGUGCGUGCACAGCGCGUGAGCAUGUGCACUGCGUAUUGCUCGCUGCUCCUUUCUCCUGCACUCAAACAGAGAACAGAACACACAAGAACACGAAGAACAAGCUCCCAACUUCAAACGAAACGUCCUCUCUUGAAACACCACGGUUCAAAACAAAAGUUGAGCCAUAGAAGCAGCUCCUUAAGGGCUAUUCACCACGGAUUUUGGAGAAAACUGAACGCCUUGCAAAGAACACGGUUUAUAAAAACUUCAAAUUCACGCCGAAUCCGUGAGGGAUUUGAUAGGGGAUCAUACCAAAGCCAAACACGAAGAACGAAAAAUCCCUAAAAAUACCUCCAAAAAAUCGAAAAAAAGAUAAAUUUCAGAUUCAAAGAGGAUGGAACAAGACGACAUGAAAUUGGUCUUUGAAUUACUCUAUCAUGUUCGGUUACAAGCCACUCCUAAAUACAAUCAAAGCUAGGAUGGCAAAAAAAAUCAACACAAAAAGAUCCACUCCUCUCUCUCCCUCUCUCACACCCAAAGGCUCUCACAAAUAAAAGAGAAGCCCCCCACCAAAGAGAUGUAGCUGCCCAACACCCCACUUCUCAUAUAUAUAGACAUUUGGAAAAUAUCCAAAAUGCCCUUACAUUAAGAUACAACCCAAAUAUCCCCAAGAGUAAAAUCGUCCAACUUUUUCCUCAUAACUCGGACAGACCAGGCGCCUUCACGACUUCACUUCACCUUGAUGCAAGCUUCGCGAUGGUGCCAUGCAUCCUCCAACUCGAUGCUAUCUAGCCACACUGGACUCAUCCCCCGGUUUUGAGGUCAAACCAGUCAAACCCUCUUGCACACCCCGCAGGCGUGACUCAUCCCCGGUUUUGAGACCAAACUGAUCAAACCCUCUCGCACGCCCCGCAAGUCGUGACUCACCGAUGUCGACGUGUGUCCAGCCUCCGCCAAGCCUUCGACUCCUCAAAGUCUUUCGUUCCCGCUCCCGGGCCACCUACUCGGCCUGCCUCCGUCCCUCUUGACUCGACUGAUGCCGUCUCCAUCCCGUCCGUGUACUCUUUCUCUUCUGUGCACCAUGUGGAUUGCUCAUGACUCCACCUAGACUCCUGGAGUCCCUCGGUCCAAGCCUACUCGUGUCCACCCUUCACAGCCCUAGUAUAUCGGAAUGAACUUUUCGCUUGAUAGUCGACCACCAUAUUGCAUCCUACACCUGCACAUCACAAGCCAAGAGACACAACCCACGAGAUAUGUUUUACACAUACCACAACACAACGUACUCAACACAACACCUCUGAUUAGCCGUUAGCAUAAACAUGCACAUAUGAAAUAUUAACUUAAUCGGAAAAGUUUCAAAUCAUCGAGACUCAACUGGAAACGUUUUAAAUCAUCCAAUCAAUCACUUAUUACAAAUAGACCAAGGCACAUGUCAACUUGGUCUCGUACUGUCGUAUGUAUAUUUAGGAAGGUGUGACGACGGUGAUAUUCUAGUCUUCGUCCUGGCUGCCGGCAGCAUGCAGCAGCAUCGUCUCCACGGUGAUCCCCGGCCCGAGACCCAACAUGACCCCCCACGCGCAUUUCUCCCGUUCCUCCUCGUUAGCUCCCCGGCGUCUCCACAUCUCCUCGAGGACGAAGAAGACGGUCGCGCCAAGCAUGUUGCCGUACUCACUCAGUACACGGCGGCUGGCCGCCAGCUUCUCCGGCUGCAGCCCGAGAGCGGCCUCAUAGCUGUCCAAGAUCGCGCGGCUGCCAGGGUGCGCCGCCCAGAAGAGGUCGUUCCAGGCGCCGGCGAGGCCAUGCAGAUGCGGCGCCAGCGCCUCCGACAGGCACCGCUCGAUGCCGCCGCAGACCAUCGCCGGCAGGGCUGCGGACAGGCGGUACUCGAUGCCAAGCUCACCGAGCUUCAGCUCCACGACGCGGGCGGUCGCAGGCAGGGUGGUCUGCGUUGCGGACACCAUGUGGAAGAUGGGGCGCUCGGCCGGGCUCACCGGGCCAGCGCCGACGACGGCGCUGCCGGCGCCGUCGGCGAACAGUGCCGCGGCGACGAGCUCCUCGAACUGGGCCUCGUCGGGCGAGCGCACGAAGGUGUGGCCGGUCUCGGCGCUGACCACGAGGACGCGCGCGCCGCGGGUGUUCUCGGCGAGGUCCUUGGCGACGCGGAGCGCGCUCGUGCCGGCGGUGCAGCCGUAGAGGUAGAGCAGCGUGCGCUGCACGUCCUGGCGAAGGCCGAGGAGCACCGCCAGGUGGAGGUCCAACCCCGGAGCGGCGGCGCCGCCGGUAGUGGUGCUGACGACGAGGUGCGUGAUGUCAGCGGCCGGCCGGCCCCACUCGGCGAUCGCCCUGGCCGCCGCCGCGGCGGCCACGUCGGGCAGGGAGCCCGCGGCGAUGCGCAUCCUCGUGUCGAGCGAAGGCAGCGCGCGGUCCAGGAUCUCCGGGUGCGCGGCGAGCAUCUCCUCGGUGAUGAGGUGCCCAUGGCGCUUCUUGAUGCCGGAUUUCUCGCCUGAAAUGCGAUAUGGUGUAGGCAUUGCAACAGAAAAAAAGCAUUAAUCCACUAGAGUGUGUGAUGUGGCAAAACGGUUCUGUAAGGUUUCUGAUUGAUCUCUACAUAUUCUCUUCAUCUUUGCCUUGAGCAUGGCGAGGUGGUCGCUCUUGGUGACCCGGAAGUACCAGUCGGCAAACUCAUCCUGGAGCAGGAAGUGCGAUGGGUUCGCCGUGCCGAUAGCGAGCACGGCCGCGUGCCCGUCAGCGCUGCGCGGCCUCCGGGCAUCCUGAAUGACCGUGGCCGGACUGCCCGUUGCUGCCAUGGUUGAUCUCGCUCCGGCCGGCCGGCGGAAAGAGCAGUGGAAGAAGUACUAGGCCGGUCGUCGUAUGAAGACGGGACAGAGCAAGCUAUCGAAGCUCUUGGAUAUAUAGUAGUGCGUGACGUGGUUUCGUCUAAGCUUGUUUAGGUGGCAAAUUGCUAACUAUUAACCGGUAUCGUACGUACACUGUUAACAAUAUGAAUGGAGCGCUGCUCUUAAGGAGAUGCAUGCUAGGCAUGAAAAUGAACGGAGUUUUUGUGUGCGUCUCUUCACGUGAAAAGAAUGCGGCAUGAGCUGUUCCUUAGUACGACUAGUCCAUUAAACCCUAACGCGCGCCUACAUAUUUAGUUAAGAUGUAUGACCAGUAAUAGAGAUUCGUCCGAAAAUCAUGUUUCGAGAUUCAAACACAUAAGAUGGUGCAAUAAAAAGUGAAAAUAAAAUUAUGAAUAUGAAUGGAAAAGGUGCAUAGAGUAAUUAUUAUUAACUAAAGUUCUAUCACAGCCGGAAACUACGGCUACCUUUUGUGAAUAUUGUGAUAGAAUAUUAAACAAAAUAGACCGGCAAGGUAAAUAGUUUUGAUAUUAGCUGUGGCAUGUGGGUCGGGCUCGUUCGCUUCAGCUUAUUCAGCCGGCUUAUCAGCCACCAAACAGUGUUUCCUCUCACAACAAAUCAGCCGUUUCAGCUUUUCAGCCGGCUUAUAAGCUGAAGCGAACAGGCCUGUCCACAUGCCACAGCUAAUAUCAAAACUAUUUACCUUGCCUGUCUAUUUUGUUUAAUAUUCUAUCACAAUAUUCACAAAAGGUACCCGUAGUUUCCGGCUGUGAUAGAACUUUAGUUAAUAAUAAUUAUUCUAUGCACCUUUUCCAUUGACAUUCAUAAUUUUAUUUUCACUUUUUAUUGCACCAUCUUAUGUGUUUGAAUCUCGAAACAUGAUUUUCGGACGAAUCUCUAUUACUGGUCAUACAUCUUAACUAAAUAUGUAGGCGCGCGUUAGGGUUUAAUGGACUAGUCGUACUAAGGAACAGCUCAUGCCGCAUUCUUUUCACGUGAAGAGACGCACACAAAAACUCCGUUCAUUUUCAUGCCUAGCAUGCAUCUUCUUAAGAGCAGCGCUCCAUUCAUAUUGUUAACAGUUUAUGUACAUCCACGUACGUACGAUACCGGUUAAUAGUUUUUAUGAUUUUUUAAUACUUAUGCUUCUCAAAAUUAUUAGUCCGUAUUGGAGCAUAGGCUGGCUUUGGAAAGUUUAUUAGUUCAAAAAUCAGCUCCCACUAAAAAUUAGGAGUAGGUGGAGCUCUAUCAAACAAGUCGUAAGAGAUUUUCAGCAGAUUCUCAUUUCUGAUUCCCAUUGGGAGAGUUGGUGAAAAUAAUACUCCAGCAGAUCCUCUUUACUUUUCCCUUUUCCCAAAUUAUUAUAACAAAUCAAUAAUCCAUAAAUCAAUAAUCCAUCCCAGCUCUCUCCAAAUAUGGUAGUUGGAUUGGUAUGAGGUUAAUAAUGAAAGAUAUGUUAGGAAAUACGCAUUAGGUAGUUAUUGGGAAAGAUUUAUUUAGAGACUACUGUAGAUGCUCUAAUAUAAUCUAUUCACCAGGCUUGGUAUUACAUUAGGAUCAUUCCUGUGGGUUGCUACGAGUAACAAAACAUUUAUAUUACAAUACAUAUAGCAUUCAACAUGAUAAUAAUAAUGUGAAAAUAAGAAAAAAAUUAUUAAAUAAGUUCAUUGGAUUAUUUACACCAGAGAUACCCAUGUCGCGGCACGAGUGCAAACUACAAAGAGGGGUAAAAGUUUUUUGUUUAAAAAAAACUCUAUGCAAAUGCAAUCAGACUACUACUGCUGAUAAAGAUAUACAUUGUUCAUACAUACAACACAAACUUGUAACUACAAAGUCGAGACAGGCUAUGAAUCGCAUGUACAGUAUAACAAAUGAGUAAACGGAUGUACACUUCACUGGCACAACUACACAAAUCACUAAAAAGAAGGUACCGCUGCACACUACGCCAGAAAACGUUUUUAUUGGCAGGUAAAACCCCACAGUGCUGACGGGUACCAUGCCCGCCAGCAACUUUGAGCCAGCACAAAUGGCGGUCUAUGCUGGCUGGCGGGCGCCCGCCAGCACAGAGAACCACUGUGCCGGCGGGUGACAUAACCAACCGCCAACACAUUGGAUACCUGUACUGGCGGGUGACAUAACCACCCACGAGCACAGUGAAAUUCUGUGCUGGCAGGUGGCCUAACCACGCGCCAGCUCAGAGAAAUUAUAUGCAGGCGGUUGGUUAUGCCACCCGCCAGGAAUAUUUAUUUUCCCACCCUACCCACCCUAUUUAUUAUUUUCUAUUAUUUAUUUAUAAUUUCUAUUUUCCCAGUUCUUAACCGCCAAAUUUAAAUAUGUAUCUCCAACCACAUAAUAAUGAACUUAAAUAAUAAAUAAUUCACAUUACUAAAAAUUGCAUUAUUCACAUUAUUCAUCAAAAUUGAAUAAUAAAUAAUUCACAUAAUUCAACAAAUGGAAUAGAGCUAUACAUCCAUAUGCGACUUAUAUUGUCCAUGCACGAAGACGCUUGCAUCCGUCCGCCGCCAACUCAGGCCAACACGCUCACAGCUAUACUCCAGUCUAUGACAGCCACGCAGCGGGUGAGUGAGGAGAGGAUGAUACAGAUGCAGUCUCAGAUUGCCCAUCAGUUUGAGACCCAGCAGGUCAUUCUUGAGGGUAUGAGACAACAGCAGGAGGCUCAGAGGCAGCAGAUCCUACAGUAGCAUAUGGUUACCAGUUAGAUGUUCUCUUUUCUCUUUGGAUGCCUAGGAUAGCUGUAUGGUCACACUGGGCUGGAGCCACCACCACUUCCUACCACUCAGCAGCUCCAGCACAAUUCCACAGCUCCUCCGAUUGUUGGUUUCGUGCAAACUCCCUUGGCCACUGACCCAGUCUCAUCUCUUCUGCAAAUAGGGAUGUUGUCACUACCACAGACGACCGGGCCUCAGCUUACACAGUCACAGGCUUCUUCUCUCGAGCAGCCACGACAGGGUGAGUUCAUGAGUCCGAUGUCGACUCAGGUGUCUACUUCGUUCUCUACAGCUCCACUUCUAUCAGAGGAGACACCGCCGUAGCCUUCUCUCAUAGCGUCGAGGUCCAGUUCUCCUCUUCUAUCCUUUGUGACACCUUAGUCCGAGGGGCUUGACGGGUCAUAUGCCACUCUUCCCACUAUCACUCAGCAGAUUCAGGUAGAGAUGGCUUUUGAGGUUGAGGGGACAGUUUCCUCUCCUUUGCCCGAGCGUGCAUGCCCGCUUCCCCUCGUGUUGAUCCAGCUCUUCCUGAGAGUUCUCCCAGCAUUUCCAACUCGAGCUCCAAUGCCGACGCCUUGGCAUACGUUGUUCAGCCCUCCGGAUCCGCCACUUCUACCUCACCGCCUGAGGGGGAGUAGAGAUAGGGGGAGCUUGGGGGGUGUUUGUUGGUAAUUUUGUGGAUCUUCAUGUAAUAGACACGUCAUUUGGCUUUUGUGUGUGUUGGAUUAUAUUGUUGACAUGUGUACUCAUGUGUGUGGUUGUACCUUUAUGUUAUUGCUUGUAUGCUUGUUUACCUUCUCCUUAUCUUACUUGUCAUGCAUUUUGUUAUUGAAUUGUGCUUUAAUUUAAAGGCUAAGGUCGUUUCUAGAACUAAGUGUCACAAGGAGAUGAAGGACACUUAGUUCUAUUUAUUUCUCUCUUGCCUCCUCUCUCUCUCUCUCUCUCUCUCCUAGUUCUAGAUCUAGAUGACAAGCUAAAAGGUUGGAAUGGCAUAAACUCACCUUAUAUAGCCACCUCCUCUAAGGACUCCUCCAAAGAAAUCAAGAGCAAAACCUCUCCCCUUAGAUUUGGUGUUUUUAGGCUUUUCCCGAGCUCCUCUUGGGCAAGCGCCAAAAAUGGAAGGUUACCUGGGGAGAAAGAUGAACAGGAGCUUUUAUACUGUGCUCUGUGCUGACGGGCGACAUAAGCCAAAGGCCAGCACAAGUCACCCAUCUAUGCUGGCAGUGGGCUUAUGUUGCCCGCCAACACAGUGACUCUCUGUGGUGGCAGGUGACAUAACCACCCACCGAUGGGGUGACUUGUGCUGGCGGGUGCUUGGGUCACCCGCUAGCACAAUGGCCUUCAUUGGAGCACCAAGCUCCAAAUCAAAAUGAGACUCAAUAAGUUGCUUCGUUACGAUUUUGGCUACUCCCUUUGAAUGCCGACCGUAAAACUAUCUUGCCAACAGAUUACCCUGUUGGAGGUAUGCCCUAGAGGCAAUCAUAGAGAUGAUGAUAUUCCAUUUGUAUCCAUGAUUUAUAUUGUGUUUCUUGAAUAUCCAUUAAAGGCUACUUGAAUUGAUUUGCAAUUAUGUGAAUUGUAUGUGAAACUCUUUACUUGUAUGGUUAUUCUAAAGUUGUCCCUAGUCGGAGUUCAUGUGAGAACAGACAUGAAUAUUAGACUAGCACAUGUAUUAGUUGAUGACUAUGUUUCACAAGUCAUGGACAUGGAGAUGUUGAACUAAUAAUGUGGGCACAUGUGGAGACACGUGCUAGGACUGACCCAACACGAGAAGUAGUUCU